rnacentral:lncRNA from 1 species
AAAAAAUUUAUUAGUUUUACAAUUUUACAAAAGUGAAAAAGUGGGUAACGAGUGGGUGAUGUUCGUCGUGUUUCUCUCGCUCGUUGGGGUGUUCACUACGCGGAUGCGGCGAAAGAGUUAGUGUGAAGGUGGUGGAGGUGGAAUGAGCGCUCGAAGUUGCCACCAGUGGUAGAAAUAUAAUUCUAAUCUGCAAAAAAAAAGAAAAAAAAAAGUGAUCUACUUUUGUAAAAGCGAAAAACUAUUUUUUUUACCAAAAAACUUUAUAUUUUUAUUAUAUACAAUAUAAAAAUAUUAAUUAAAUAUUGAUGACGCCAGUCAAUUUAAUGAUCCAGGAAUCGAUAAGCUAGCAAUAUUUCUUAAUAGCAAAUAAUUAUUAUAAAUUUUAAAACACCCAUCAAAAGUGCUGAUUUUAUAAUAAUUUAUUAAUAUAUGAGUUUUGUAAUUCGAAGAAUUUCAAUUGAUUCAUACUGAUCUUUUAAAUAUUAUACUAAUUUGCCAGCAUAUUAAAAAAUCUAAAUAAAAUUUUUCUGGAGAGACUACGGAUAUACCUUUGAGUCGGAGAGAUCUCUUAAAAAGUUACUGAUGUGGUGGUACGUUAGUAUGUUACGCAGACAGACGAAAUAUAAUAAAAAAUUAAAAAAGUACCCUUGGCAUUAUACCAAUAUAUAAAAAAAUUAGUUUUUGUAAUUUUUUUUGUCCCAUUUGGUGGCAUCCCAGCUGGUCCUUAGUUGGAAUUUGCAAUGUGCUCCUCAGGUCUAGUUUGGUGUGCUUCUCCAUCUACAAAAUAAAUGGUAAAUUAAUUAUCAAAAAAUAAAAAUAAAAAUAUAUAGAACUCAAUCUAAUAGUGCUUUAUUUAAUAUCUUAUAAAUUUUAAAAAUUGUUACAUUUAUCAAUCUAUGGAUAAUGAAGCACGGAGCUUUAAUACCUUAUUAAAAGCAUAUUUUUUACGAUAAUAAAAUAUCUUUAUAGUAUCUAUUAAAGUUUUUCCCUACAUAAAAUAAAAUAAACUAAAGUCGGUGGAUGACGUGGUAGACCCGGUUCACCAAAAAUUCCACAUCCCUCUCCUACUAACAACUCAACAAGUCGUCAUUACAGGUGACGUAUCUCUCUCUCUCUCUCUCCUCCUUUUCUCUCUCUCUCUCUACACCUCUCUCUUUCUCUCUCUCCUCCUUUUCUCUCUCUCUUUCUACACCUCUCUCUUUCUUUCUCUCUCUUCUCCUCUCUCUCUCUCUACACACCUCCUUUCUUUUUCUCCUCCUCUCCUCUCUCUCUCUCUACAUCUCUCUUUCUCUCUCUCCUCCUCUCUCUCUCAUCUCUCUUUCUCUCUCUACAUCUCUCUUUCUCUCUCUCCUCCUCUCUCUCUCAUCUCUCUUUCUCUCUCUACAUCUCUCUUUCUCUCUUCUCUCUCUACAUCUCUCUCUCUCUUCUCCUCUCCACUCUCUCUCUGCAUCUCUCCUUUCUCUCCUCUCCACUCUCUCUCUCUACAUCUCUCCUUUCUCUCUCUCUCCUCUCCACUCUCUCUCUCUACAUCUCUCCUUUCUCUCUCUCUCCUCUCCUCUCUCUACAUCUCUUCUCUCUCUCUCUCUCUCUCUCUCUCUCUCUCUCUCUCUCUCUCUCUCUCUCCCCAUUUUAAUCCACUACGCAUUUUCCUCUACUCAGAACCAGCCAUGGGUAAUCACAAAGAGACCCUAUAAGAUCGAAACCCUAGGAGGAGAAAAAAGGUACCAUCUUUUUAUCUUUUUUUAUUUAUUUUCCCCCAAUUCUUUUCCCCCCUUUCGAUCAAUUGCAAAAUGUGGCAUUUUUUUCUCCCUAAUAACGAUUAAUUCUCCAUUUGGUAUGAUGCUGCAGUUAUCAUUGUACAUUCGAGUAAUUUGGAGGUGUUAUAGAAUGGGAAAGUGUGCUUUAAUUUACUAUUAUUAUCUGGGAACAAUUUUGAUUUUUUUGUCAAAUUUUAAAGGGUCGGUGUGAAUCCAUGAACAUCAUGUUUAGCAUUAUUUUUUUAUAUUGUUAUUUUGUUCAUUAUGGCCAAAUUGCUACUGAGAAUAACCUGUCCUAGAAUUGUAUGCAAGUAAACCGAUUUAAUGUGUUAAAAUUGCUCUCCUAGGCUUAAUUUUGCGCAUUUUUUGGUUGUUUUUAACCACAAUUUUGAGUAAACCUAAUCAAAUUUCCACACAAUGUGGGUAUUUUCUUUACAUUCUCCUUUUUCACAUCUUUGUUCAUACUAUGUUUGUUUAUUGCGGCAUUGGUCGAAGUUUUCAAAGAGUCUACUUUGUUGCAGUAGCUUUUGCCAAAGAUAUGGCCGAGGAAUUCGAAGAAAAUUGUGAAAAUAACGACCGGCACGGCGAGAUCUAUCAAGAAAAAGUAUACGACGCGUUUGUUUGCCCCCUCACUAAGCAAAUUAUGCGCGAUCCCGUUACCAUCGAAACAGGGUACACCUUCGAUAGAGAAGCAAUUUUGAAAUGGUUCAGGGAAUGUCAGAACAACGGAAGGAAACUCGCGUGCCCCUUGACACGAAAGGAGCUCCGCAGCACCGAUCUUAACCCUAGUAUCGCUCUUCGUAAUGCUAUUGAUGAAUGGACGCAAAGAAAUGAAGCUAAGGAGCUCGAUAAAGCGCACAGAUUACUGCUGAGUUCGGCGAGCUCAGAACAAGAUGCUUUGAGGGCUCUAGAGUUUGUUGUCAAUGUUUCCUGGAAAAGAAGCCGUGCUGUAUAUAAUGGCGGGUUGAUACCGACGAUUUCUGGCUUGUUGAAGAGCGGCAGCAUAACCCUUCGCUCUAAAGCACUCGAGGUUCUUCGCAUUGUAGCCGAGGAAAACAAUGAAAAUAAGGUUUUUUUUCUUCCUUUUCUUUUUUCAAAAUUUCGGGAACUGACAUUUUGUUUCCGAAGUUAUUGAUUUGUCACUUACUUUCUAGGAAGAUAUUGGCGCGGGAGACACCAUACGCACGAUCGUAAAGUUUCUCCUGCAUGAAUAUAUCAAGGAGAGGGAGUUAGCUGUCGCUCUCUUAUGUGAGCUUUCGAAGUCCGAAUCUUUGUGCGAAAAGAUUGGUGGAGUCGACGGGGCGAUUCUCAUAUUGGUAGGAUUGGCGAGUAGCAAAUCGGAAAACAUCGUAGUCGUUGAGAGAGCCGAGCAUACGCUGAAGAAUCUGGAGAAGUGCGAGAAAAAUAUUAAGCAAAUGGCGGAAAAUGGGAGGCUUCAGCCCCUUCUUACGAAACUCCUCGAAGGUGCUUCCUCCCUUUCUAUAAUAUCUGUAACAUCUUUGUCCUGUGUUAUAUUCAUAUUCUCCUUAUCAUGAUCAGUGUAUCACAAAUUUUUCGGUUCUGAAUCAAUUCUCGUAAUCUGUCAUUCUGUUUGUAAAGUUGGUUAUGGCAUACUCGUAAGUCGUGACUUUUACAUCCAUUGAUUCUACAUCUGAAGCAUCAUCGAAUCGCUUACCUCUGAUUAGUAACGAGUUUAUACUAAACUUAGUUAAGAUGCUAUUGUGAGCAAUUUUAUCGGCCUGUCGGAUGAAAUUGUAAAUCACUUUUACAAGAACUUGGUUUCAGGUACGAAUCCCGCGUACUGCAAAAUUUGUCUUCAGUUAUGAAAUAUCAUUUGCUUAGAGGGACCAUUUUUCUUUUUUCUUUUUCGAAACUUACUCUUUAUUAGUACAAAUGUGCAACGGGCGAUAGCGAUAGCCGAGCAGCUUCUCACGCAACUUGUUCUGUAAAAUUUGAGCAGGUUCGCCGGAAACCCAGCUAUCGAUGGCUUUAUACCUUGGCGAACUCAUUCUCGCCAACGACGUAAAGGUCCUUGUGGCACAAACGGCCGGUCCGACGCUGAUAACCAUUAUGACGACGGGAACCGUGCAAGCAAGAGAAGCUACUUUAAAAGCCCUGAAUCAGAUCUCGUCGAACGAAUCGAGCGCCAGCGUACUAAUCGAGGCCGGCAUCCUCCCCCCUCUCGUCAGGGACCUCUUUGCCGUCGGCUGCGGCCGCCUCCCAACGCGGCUGAAGGAGAUGUCCGCCGGCGUCCUGUCCAACCUCGUGGCGUCCGGCGCAGAUCUCGAGGCUGUCCCGUUAGACGACGGCGACCAAACUCUUCUCUCAGAGGAUGUCGUCCACAACCUGCUCCACCUCAUCAGCAACACCGGCCCGGCGAUCGAGCACAGGCUUCUUCAAGUCCUGGUUGGACUGACGAGUUCGCCGACUGCGGUUUCGUACAUUGUUUCCGGCAUUAAAAGCUCAGGUGCCGUUAUCAGUUUAGUCCAAUUUAUCGACGCCGCGCAUACAGAUGUUCGCGUGGCCGCGCUGAAGCUCUUACAUAACAUCUCUCCUCACAUGAGCAUCGAGCUCGCAGAAACUCUCGGAGGUAGUUCCAGCCAUUUGGGCACCGUACUUGAUGCCAUUUCGGACAACAACGGGAUCGCAGAAGAACAAGCCGCGGCCAUCGGGCUUCUGGCUGAGCUUCCUGAGAUGGACUCUGGCCUCACCAAACAGCUUUUCAAACAAGGAGCUUUCAGAGUUGUCAUUACAAAACUGCUCAGUAUAAGGGACGGCGGGGCUCGCAGCAACCGCUACAUAGGGCCUUUUCAGGAAGGGCUCGUGCGAGUGCUCUCAAGGCUUACGUACUGCUUAGCGGAGCCCGAACACAUCGCCUUCGCAAAGGAGUACGAUCUCGCCACAGUUUUCGCCGGUCUAAUCGAAGCAAACGGGAGCGAUAAGGUGAUAAUAGCUUCAGCUUUCGCACUCGAGAACCUCUCGCAAGAAUCCAAGUACUUGACAGCAAAACCUGAGCCGCCAAAGUGUACUCUACUGUCCUGCUUCAGUAAGCCGCCGUCGGUUUCUGGGCUCUGCCGCAUACACCAUGGGUUCUGUACAGCGAAAGAGAGCUUCUGCUUAUUGGAGAGUAGGGCGGUCGAGAAGUUGAUUGCUUGUUUAGACCACACCAAUGAGAAGGUCGUCGAGGCCGCAUUGGCUGCGCUUUGCACUCUGCUGGACGAUACCGUCGACACCGUAGAAGGGGUGUAUGUGUUGUGUGAGGCCGAGGGGAUUAAACCGAUUUUCGAUGCUCUGAUACAGAAUCGGACCGAGAUUAUUCAGAAAAGAGCAGUUUGGGCCGUCGAGAGGUUUUUGCGAAUCGACGACAUCGCGAGAGAAGUUUCGGGGAAUCAGAGUGUGGGCUCGGCUCUUGUGGAAGCUUACAGGAAUGGUGACUACCGGACGCGGCAGAUCGCGGAGAGAGCAUUGAAGCAUAUAGAAAGGUUGCCAGAUUUCUCUGCCAUAGCUGCUCAGAGUUAAGAGUUGUUGUUAUGUUCAAGAGGCAAGGUUUGCUUGGUAAGCAUAUAUCUACUUUUGCAAAUUUUCUCUACUCUUCCAUUGUUUAUUCUUUUUCAUGGUUUUUCUCUUGGAGAUUAUUCAUGUUAUCACUACUUUAUAUAUAUAUAUAUAUAGAGAGAGAGAGAGAGAGAGAGAGAGAGAAUAGGCUACUAUACUCAUAUAAGAGUAUAGAACUUUUGGUACUCAUAAGUUGUUUUUUAAUGGAGCUUCCGUAUCGAUGAUCCACUACGUUAAAUAUCAUCUAUAGUAUUUAAAACUUUUAAAAAAUAAAUUUUGUAAUUUUUUGAAAUCAUAAAAAAAUCAUCAACCGGCCAUUAAAAAUUAUUAAUUUUUAGAUCUUUCGAUCGUAAUGUAAAUUAUUUUAAAAAGUUAUAAAAUUUGAUUUUUAGAAGUUUUAAAUACUAAUAUAAUGUUUAACGGUAUGAAUCGUUGAUUCGAAAGUUCCAUCCUCAAAAACGAUUUAUGAGUACGAAUGUGAUUGCACUCAUAAGAGUAUAUAUAUAAUGUUCAAUUAUGGUAUUUGUAAAUUUUUUUAUCGUUAGAUAUAUUUUUUUGAUCAUUUUCAUCCGUUAGAUCAUACUAUUCAACUACCCACUCAACCCUAGAGAUUUCACAUCAUCUUAAUUGCGCAUCCCUUAAUUCAAUAACAAAAAACCUACGAGCACCAAUAACUUAUACUUUAAAAAAAUUAAAGUUCAAUUAUAUAUAUAAUAAAAAAAAAAAAAAAAUUUAUAGAUAUAAUAUAAAUUAUAUAUAUAUAAUUGAGCUUCUAUGCUUUUAUAAAAUACCAAAUUAUUGUGGCUUGUAUAGUUUUUAGCCGCCUUGAUUAAAGGGAGUGCCGUUUACGACGAUGUGAGCCUCCUAUGGGUUGAGUGGGUGGUUGUUGAGAUAGUAUAAAUCUAACGGUACAAAUGAUCCAAAGGCUUAAAUCUAACGUGGAUAAACUAAAUAGUACCACAAUAUUUGGCUAUCGAUAGUACCCACAGCAGGAUAUAAUAUAUAUAUAAUAUAUGAUAUAUUAUAUAGUAGGAGUGGAACUAUUAUUAAAUAUAAAACAGCUUCUUUUUUGCUUCAAGUUUUUAAACCUUGAUGAAAAUGUAGGUCAGGAAUGAUAAUUAGUCGAUAGAAGUGAAGUGUCUCCCUUAGGGUUGAGUGGUUCCCACGGUUAUAUAUUUAAUCCAAUGGUUAGAGAAUAAUGAAAGAGUUGAUCCAAGCCUAAAAAUAGUAGCCACAAUGAAUUGUCUGUACUAUAGUAGCCCAGUCCACUCUCUCUCUCUCUAUAUAUAUAUAGUCUCUCUCUCGUCUUCUCUCUCUACUAUAGAUAUAUAGAGAGAAGUAGGAGAAGCGCCUAAAACUAGUCAUAUUUAGAGGCACGGAGGCCUCCGUGCUACCAAGUUAUUUUAUGAUGCGGCUUUCAAAAUCAAGAUCGGCCCCGUUGAUUUGAUUCGUACACUAUUAAAAUAUUUAAACUAAUUUUCAUAAUUAUUCGACUUUUUUGCUAGUUCAAAGUCCUCAAAAUUAACAAUUUAAUGUAAUGAUAUGUGUUGUGUGAAUUUAACGGUGUAAAUAUACACAAUUUGAAUUGAAUUUAAUAGAAUUUUGUUCAACUAUAUAGAAUAAGAUUAAGAACCUCUAUAUCUUAAAUUCAAUCUUUUACAUCAUUUUUUUAUAUAGAUUUUUAUUUUAAGCCGUCAUUUUUAGAACCUACUCUUAUAGUAAAUAAUGUCGAAAAUUAUAAAAUUAAUUUUCAAAUAUUUUUAAUAGUGUAGAUCAAGUCUAACGAGAGCGAAUCGUCGAUUGGAUAGCCGCAGUUAUCGAAACGAACUUAGUAGCCCGGAGGCUACCGAUAGUAUACCGCCUAACUUAUAAUACAUAUAUAUAAUAUAUUUAUAUAUAGUAUAUGUGUAAAACUAUAAGCACUUUAAAAUUGGCUUACCAAAUAUUUUAAAAUUAAUUUUACUACUAAAACAUUCAUUGUUUUAUAAUCAAUAAGAGACUUCUAUCUAUGAAAUUUAAACUAAAUUUUUAUGUUUAAUAAACUUAUAGUUUAAUAAUUAUAAAAAAAAAUAUAAUAAUAAACAAAGAAAUAUAACACAUUCAAUUUUAUGAAAUUAAGAGAUAUAUAACUAUUUCAAUAUUUUACUAAAAAAGAAAUAUAUAACACAUUCAAAUUUACUAAAGACUAAAAAAAAUAAUACACUUUCAAAUUUUAUAUCAAAAAUAUCAUUAACCAACUCGCAUUAAAUAAAACUAAAAGUGAAGAGUUAAAACAAAAAAUUAAAACAUAUGUUAAUGUAUCAUUUGAAAUAGGAAAUAAAAUCAAAAUUCUGAAUAUCCAACGCAGAUUGAUGUAGCCUAAUCAGUUACGAAUUGGAAAUAAAAUUCUGGUAAGGUCCAUAUGAAUCAAUAUGUAUAACAACAAAGUGAAAUAGUAAAAAAAAAAAAAAAAAAAUUGGAACCCACACCAGCAAAUAUAAUCUAUUACUUCAAUCAAAAGUGAUUGAAUGUAUAAGCGGAAUGAAUGUAAAGUAUCCUACAAUUAGAACAUUGAUCAUACUAAUUUAAUUUAUCCUCUUUUUUUUUUUUUUUGGAAUACAACGGCUAAAUCAGUUGAACUAUAAUCUCUGAUGCAUCUUUAACAUGCAAAAAGAUUUACUUACAUUACCAACCACAGCUUCAGAAAUUUACAUUCCUCUUCAAUAUCUAAUAAACCAAUAUAAGACCAAAUCAUCACCAAAGCAACUUCAUAUUAUCAUCACAAAUCAUCAAACUACUAUAAACUCUUCACCCACUCUUGAUUCUUAAACCAAUAACAAGAUUAGAAAUUUCAGAGUAGCUGAUGCAGCAGAAACACUAUAAAAGAUCCAACCCCUUUUUCAUUCCAAGAUCAAAUUUUACAUCCCAAACCAACAAAACCAACAACCUGGCCCUGAAGAUAGAAACCCUAACCCUAACCCUAGCCCUAGCCCUAGAGAGGGGCACCUGUCUCGUUCUCACCCGCCGAAGCCGUAGAGGGUGCGGCCCUGGCGCUUGAGGGCGUAGACGACGUCCAUGGCGGUGACGGUCUUGCGGCGGGCGUGCUCGGUGUAGGUGACGGCGUCGCGGAUGACGUUCUCGAGGAAGAUCUUGAGCACGCCGCGGGUCUCCUCGUAGAUGAGGCCGCUGAUGCGCUUCACGCCGCCGCGCCGCGCCAGGCGCCGGAUCGCGGGCUUCGUGAUCCCCUGGAUGUUGUCGCGGAGAACCUUGCGGUGGCGCUUCGCCCCGCCCUUCCCCAAUCCCUUCCCCCCCUUCCCCCUCCCCGACAUCGCCGCCGCCGCUGUGCCGCGGAAACCUUAGAAAGACGAAACCCUAGAACGGGGAAACCCUAACGCGGAGUGGAUUUGGGGAAUUCGAUUUGGCGAAGGGGAACGAGUCGAAGUUCUUUGGAGUUUAGGGGGGAAGGUGGGGUUUUUAUAGAGAGAGGAAGCGGGGGAGGGUCGAUCCGUGGACGAUUGCUGUUCAAUGGUUCGUUUGGAGAUGGACGAUGGGGAUUCGGGGUUUGGAUUCCGCGAGGAUCGGUGACGUGGGCGUGGUGUUUUCUUUUGGGAGGGGGUUGUGUGUUUCUCGCGGGGUAGGGUACUUGUGUUUUUUUUGGGUUUUGGGGGAUGAGGUGGUAUGGGUCGUUGGAUUCGUAAGCGGUGGACACGUGGCAAUAUCGCAGUGGUGACGUGUCAUUAUUGGUGUGUCAAAAGUAACAGGAAAAACUUCAUAUACCACCCCGUGGCUUCACACUGAGUCCUCGUGUGGUUUAAAGUGUAUUAAUUUAGUAUCCUAUAUUUUAUUUUUAUUUUUUUAUUAUUAAUUUGACUAAUUUUUUAAUUAAAUCAGUGACAACGUUAAAACUAAAGGGUACUAAAGUAAAUAUUCGACAAAUCAAUGUAGGGUAUCUAAAAUUUUCUAAAAUUUUUUAUAUAUAAUUUAAUAAAAUAUUAACGAAAAAACUGACGAAAAGAUAAAAAUAAAACCAUAAGACACUAAUUUGAUACACUUUAAACCACAGAAUAUUAAAGUGAGAAAAUGCAAAACUAUAUAGAUGGUAUUUAAAAUUUACCCAAAGUAAUAUAAAGAAAGAUUACCAUAUAUAUGUUAAGAAAAGUUACUGAGUUUUUUUCCUCAAUAUCUAAAAAAUUAUUCACCAUCCCAAAUGACAAAAAAAACUUGAUAAUUGAUCAUCUCGAAUCAUAAUAAAUUUCUAAUUCGAAUCGUAAUUAAAACUUGAAAGAGCUUAGUAUGAUCAUACUAAAAAGACUAGUAAAAUUGCCCAGCAGUAAACAUUAACAAUAUGAUGAUUGUUUACAGGUUCCAUAAACAGUUACAUUACAAUGUGUAGUAAUAAUAUAUAAUAUAAUAAUAAUACACAAAAUGGCGUAAAUUCCUGGGAAGUGUAACAAGAAUUACUGGAACAACCAUUCUACAAUUAGAACAAAGCAUAUAAAGAUGGCAUGCCUAUGAAAGAUCCCUAAAUACAAUUUGAUAGUAAAGGAGCCAUUCGCCGCUAACUCGUGCCGCCAAAGUGCGAACGGAACAAGAUGAACGAACACCUACAGCAACCUCCUCCUACAACGCCGCCGCUACACUUUGCUUCUCAGUUGUACUACAUCUUUUGUACGGCACGAAGCCUCUUGUUGCUGUAAUGUUCUUGUCGGCCUCCACACGUACAAAGGCUGAGUUCUUGCUUGGCUUGAACAUCGGCGCUGGCUCGGGUUCGCCCGAACGCACCGAGUCCGAGCUCGAAGCACUCAGACAAGCUCCUGCUUUCUCGCCAGUCUCGCGAGAUCGCGGACUUACGAUUUGCGGAGUAAUGGCCCACCACCAAGGUAAAGCAGCAACCGAAGCCUCCGCAAAGUUCCCACAUUGAAACUGCGACGAAACUUCGUUUGUUGCAGCUGCUGCUGAAAGCAAUUGCAAUUGCAUAUUGCUGCCAUGCUGCUCUACCGGAGCAGCCGAUGCCUGGCAACUUUGUUUGUCGUACUUCGCAGUCGAAGAGCACAACAUUUUAAGAUCCGUUAUCACAACAGUUCUACCGAAUAGCUUCAAAGUGGUGGCUUGAGCUUCUAUCAUUGGCGAAGCGUCUUUCGAAAGAACUUGAUCUUUAGAGUCCUCGUCAAUCUCCUGGAUAACAGGCGACGCGAUAUCUUUAGACAAACGGGCGUUCUUUUAACAGCAGUAGGAAGGAAAGAUAGGCCGGUAAAAGAAAAUACCAUGUGAGCUUCAUCUUUGGAGGCAGGUGGCGAAGUUGAAUUUUGUUCUUCGGUCGACGUUGUAGACGACUGACACCCGUUGUCCUGUUCGAUCAGAGAUGUGCCCGUUGGAUCUCCACCGUCAGAGGACACCGGGCUAGGCCGAUUUGAAAUCGAUGACCCAGAAGUAUCGGAUCCCAGUCUCGAUAAAACUGAUACGGGCGAUCCAUUCUCUUGUUCGGACACCGAGGAAGACCCCACAGACGACAGUUGUAGUUUGGAAACCCCAUUCUUCCGCGGGUAAGGCCGAAGCGGUUUUUUUUUGGGCCGGGGAGGAGGGAUUUCGAUGGCUUUCUCCGAGCCCGAUUCCCGUUCUAGCUGCACGCCAGAAAAGCAAAAUUUAAAUUCUCCGUCUUAAAAGGUAUAAAAAGAUGCUACCGACGCAACAGUAAUUCGUAUUCAUCUUCACGAACAAUCGACUUACUUUAUAGAUCAAAGUAAAUCGCCAAUGAACAUAAGAAUGGUAGAGAAAUAGUUUACUGGAGGGGGAUGGUAGACCUUUGAAAAGAAUUUCUGAGCAUGGCUUCGAAUUUGAACAGCUGUUUUGGUGCCUAUGUGCUCUACAUGUAAACACCCAAAAUUUCAGUAGAAGAAGAGUUUGUUAAAUGUGUGAUAUUUUCUAGAAUAAAUUGGUGCCCAAAUACCUUGUAUCUGGCGCCAAGCACGGCCGAAUAACUUGAGAGCCUCCAAGAACUUCUCGUGCUCUUCCUCGGUCCACUUCUCCCGCUGUUUUGUUAUUGUGUAAGGUUUCCUAACCUAUUUAGGCAAGAAGGAUUGUUUAGUGAAAAGGAGUUUGAUAAAAUUAAAAUGAUGAUUAACCAAACCAAUGAAAACGGAGAAUCGGUUUCUGACAUGGCGGAAAAAACACUACCUUGAUGGCGUAAUCAUCUGUUUCCUUCGGUUGCGCUCCACUUCCUACAGCAGAAGAUCCAACAUCCACACGCAUCCUCCUUUCGGGUAUGCUGAUUGGAUUCAGAUAAGGCUUCCGGCUGUUUUCCUGACAUAAAAGAAAAAGGCCGUGUGGCCCUGUUAUUGCGUGUUUUUUGCAACAAAGCAAAUGUUAAACAAAACGAAACAAAUAAGAACUUGGCAUUGCCACAAAGUAAGCUGAGUUAUCCGGUGCGACUCAAUUAACAUACAGGUGUAUGAUCACAAGAGAAGCCUUAUACAGUAGGUCAAAAACCUGUGUGAUUAUACAUGCCAUUGAAUAUGUCUAAAGCUCUCCGAUUAUCAAGUCACUUAUCACAUCGAUAUUAAUCAUCCGAAUCUGUUAUUACUGGGUGUUUGUAAAUGCCUAAAUAAAGAUUGCUAAAGCCGAUUCUUUUGCUCAGAGGAAUCUAUCAAGUUUCUUAGCAUGAAUUUAUAUACACUGCAGAGUGGCUUCCUAAACUGUAAUUCCUGGAACCUAUGCCUUCAAAAUAAGGUGGCAAAAUAAAAUAGGAUAAUACUUGCUCAUUGGUAAAAUAUUCUCCUCUUGAUUUUGACUAAGAGGUUUUAAAGACUUGCAGUACAAAAGUGUUCCCCAGCUGACAGCUCAACAAGUUGAUUUUGAAACUCAUGAAUCAUAUAACUUCAACACCACAGUUGCUACACAAGCAUCUCAUAAAUUUAAGAAUUUGCAAACAACAAGGAAAAAAAAACAAAAAAAAAAAAACCUCUCUAUAGUCCUCAUAUUUUCCAUCUUUGUCGAGUUAUGUGUGACGCUUCAGAAUUUGGAAUAGUUCAUAUAAAAAAUAUAAUAGUUUUAAACCUUUUAAACCGGCUAUAAUAUUUUAGGCGUUUGUUAAGUCCAAGAAAUAAAGUCUGCUAGGGCUAUAGUAAUUAUAGAAUGAGUGACCCUCUGAAAAAUGAGUACCGCUAAAGUGAGUGACAUAUUUCGCUUCUCAAACUAUAUGAAAUUUCGUCAAAACUACAUGUACUAUGGUGCAUAUGGAAAUUGAUACAUCAACUUCAAAAAUUUUGAUUUUAAUACAUAACCUAAUGAAUAAGAUACAUCUCUUUCAAAACUUAUAUUUUCAAUUUCUUUUUGAACAGAAGCAAAAACAAUGAAAAAAGUUAUGUGGUAAAAGCGAAGUAUUCAAAGAUUAAGUACCCACUCCAAAAUGGGCAAGUUUUAGGUAUUUUAUGCCAAUUUUUGGCAAAAACUUCCCCUCAAUUUCGAAGCAAAUCAAACUCCUCAUGAUAAGGGGUAUAAGGGGUAUUUGGUUUCUCGGAAAAUCGCGAAAAACUAUUUUUCGAGAAAAAAAAUCAUGAAUAAGACCCUUUUUCUAUAGACUUUGUUUUUGGGUUUAAAAAGAAAAUCUAGAAAACAAAAAAAAAGAGAAUUUUCUAUGAAAUUUGUAAACAAUUUUUCUAAAAAAAUUUAACUUUCCUGAAAAUCAAAUAGAUAAAAAAAUAUAAUUUUUUUUUGCCAGAAAAUUAUUUUCUGAAAUAUUAUUCAGAAACCAAACACCCCCGAACCAAAAGAGGAAACUACCAAAAAAAAGAAAAAAAGAAAAAAAAAAAGAGCACUGUUCUAUGAAUAAUAUUAUAUAUCAAAUCAACAAGGAAAUAGGAAAUAAAAGCUUACACAUAAUCACUAAUACAAGGGGAAAAAAAAAACAAAUAAAGAGAAAAUAGAGAAUCUCACCAGCAAAGCUGUUGCUACCAUGGCGCUUUAGAUCCUUCUUCGCAAUUGAAAAGCUCUUCAAACCAAAUCCAAAAAAGAUGCUACUUUUACUUUUCCUCUUCUCUUCUUUUACAUCAAAUCCCCUCUACGACGCUAUUUAAGCCCUAGUCCUCUGAUUCAUCUCUCUCGCUAAACCCCAAAUCACCAAUGAUCGAGGAGAAACCCCAAGGAAAAAAAAAAACUUAACGAAACCCCAAAAAUCACAUCAAUUUCUCUCCCCUCUAAACCCCCUUCCGAAGAAGCACAAAAAAAAUAAAAAAGAGCUUUUAGAUCUAAAAGGAGAGAUUUGAAGCACAAAUCACGAACCCAAAACGAUCAAAUCGAAAUCCCCCAACGAGAGCGAGAGAAAAAACCGACCAAAUCCGCGACUGAUCGCCAAGCUAACCUUCUCCUCUGAAGGCUCCUCCCACGGUUCAAAACACUUACGAUUCGAAUCGCGGAGAGAGAGAGAGAAGAGAGAGAGAGGGAGGGAGAAGAUCUACGGGAGAUUCGAGGAGGAGAGGGAGAGACGUGAGCGGCGUAUAGAGAGAGAGAGAGAGAGUAGAGAGAGAGAGAGAGAGGGAGAGAUUGAAAGGAGAGAGAGAGAGAGAGAGAGAUUGAAAGGAGAGAGAGAGAGAGAGAGAGUAAAAGGGCGACGAGGGAGGAGAGAAGUUGAGAAGGUGCACGUCAGAUGGGCGAAGGAAUUUAUAGCUGGACAAAUUCCGGAAACUGACUUGAACUUGUGCUGAGGAGCACGAAGCCGCUGACACGCGUCCAAACCCCCCUCUUCUCUCUCUCUCUUCUAGGCCCUUUUUUUUCUUUUUUUCUAUAUAAUAAAUACAUUUUUGGCUGCUUUGCUUAUUUUUGCAUUAUAUAAUAUAUAUAUUAUAAUAUAUAUAUAUUGGAGGAGUUAUUAUACUAUCGAAAUAUAGAAAAUUUAACUAUUUUAAUUUUAUACACUUGAAUAAAAAAUUUAUGAUUUAUGAUGCGGUCCCUCUAAAAUUGAGUAAUAUUUCUAGAGUUGAACGGUCCACAGAGUAAAGUAUUAAUCUAAAAGUAAAAAUAAUUAAAGAGGCUGAUGUAAGGGCAAAAAGUCGAAAAGUACAUAGAUCUUUUAUAUUUCCAAUGAUAUAGUAACGCUAUCUAUAUAUAUUAUUAUCUAUUAUUAUUAUUAUAAUUAUUCUAAGAUAUAUUUUCCUAACAAAAAAUAAUUUUGAUUUAUUACUAGUUUUUUUUUUAAAUAAAAAAUUUAGUUAUUGUUGUAUUUUUGAUUCGUGAUAUUGAAUAGGUAGGUGCUGUCGCAAUUACGAGGCUAAUAUUUUUCUUUUUUACUCUAAAAUUGAAGUGCUAAAUUUAUAGAUUAUUUACUAUAAUAUGUACAGCAAAUAGCCAAAAAAAAAAAAAAAAAGUAAAGCUGAGAGAAAAUGAAUGAUAAAAUUAUAUUAUUAUUUAUAUUUAAAAUACUAGAAGCACUUUUAAUAUAUAUAUAUAUAUAAUAUAUAUAUAUAUUUAUAUUAUAUAGAUGUAUAUAUAUAUAUAAUAUAGGUUGUUUAAGAAAAAUUCAGUAAUAUCCAGAACGCCUAAAAGAGGGGCGGUUGUGUAACUGUCAGGAUUGGGAUAAUACUAACCCAAAACAAACAACAAAUUUCAUUAAAUUACAAAAAAAAAAAAGAAAAGAAAAGAAAAGAAAAAUUGGUGGUGAACCAGAAACUGUGCAAGCACCUGAUCAUGUCACUUGUUCCCUUUCUCAUCUGAUAUUAUCUUUCAUAUAUACUAAAUCAUUUUUGGGGCUUUUUAUUUUGCAUUAUUAAUAUAUAUAUUAUAAUAUAUAUAUAUUGGAGGAGUUAUUAUACUAUCGAAACUAUAGAAAUUUAAUUUUAAUUUUUAUACACUUGAAUAAAAAAAUUUAUGAUUUAGUGAUGCAGUCCCUCUAAAAUUGAGUAAUAUUUCUAGAGUUGAACGGUCCCACAGAGUAAAGUAUUAAUCUAAAAGUUAAAAAUAAUUAAGAGGCUGAUGUAAGGGCAAAAAGUCGAAAGUACAUAGAUCUUUAUAUUUCCAAUGAUAUAGUAACGCUAUUCUAUAUAUAUUAUUAUUAUUAUUAUUAUUAUAUAUAUAUUCUAAGGAUAUAUUUUUCUAACAAAAAAUAAUUUUGAUUUAUUACUAGUUUUUUUUAAAUAAAAAAUUUAGUUAUUGUUGUAUUUUGCAUUCGUGAUAUUGAAUAGGUAGGUGCUGUCGCAAUUACGAGGCUAAUAUUUUUCUUUUUUACUCAAAAAUUGAAGUGCUAAAUUUAUAGAUUAUUUACUAUAAUAUGUCAGCAAAUAGCCAAAAAAAAAAAAAAAAGUAAAGCUGAGAGAAAUGAAAUGAUAAAAUUAUUUAUUAUUUAUAUUUAAAAUACUAGAAAGCACUUUUAUAUAUAUAUAUAUAUAUAAUAUUAUAUAUAUUAUAUUAUAUAGAUGUAUAUAUAUAUAUAAUAUAGGUUGUUUAAGAAAAUUCAGUAAUAUCCAGAACGCCUAAAAAGAGGGGCGGUUGUGUAACUGCUCAGGAUUGGGAUAAAUACUAACCCAAACAAACAACAAAUUUCAUUAAAUUACAAAAAAAAAAAAGAAAGAAAAGAAAAGAAAGAAUUGGUGGUGAACAAAAACUUGUGGCAAAGCACCUGAUCAUGUCACUUGUUCCCUUUCUCAUCUGAUAUUAUCUUUAUAUAUACAAUAAAUAAUAAUAAUAAUAAUAUUAUUAUUAUUAUUAUUUUAUAUUAUUAUUAUUAUUGUAUUUUGAGUACAAUAGAGGUGGAUAGCAUGGUAUCAGAUUUAAUGCUAAGUAUUUAUUUAACAUUUAUCAUCUCAAUAAGAUUGUCAAUAUUGAUUUAAUACAUUCAAAAAUAUAUUUUUAAACGCAAUUGUCACUUACAUCUAUUAUUUAUAAGCAAAAAUAUUAGUGUAUCUUCUUCUAUUACAUUGAUUUGUGAAUAAUAAAUAUUAUGAUAAAGUUAAGUGUGUUCUAAAGUUCCACUUAUGCUGAUAUAUUAAUGUACAGGCACCUAUAAUAUAAAGACUUUUUUCCUAACUCUUACAAUAUACUGCACAUGGAUUCGUUAAUAUACGGCAUUCAAAAAAAAAUUUCUAUUAAAUAAGUUCUCCAUGGAUGAAUAAUAUACAUAUAUAUAUUAUAUAUAUAUAGAAAAUAUAUUUAUUUAAGAUUUAAGAUGUCGAUAUGAAUGUAUCUGGCUUUUUAUUUUGUGAUGUAUCAGUAAUAUUUAUCGACAUUUUCCUUCAUCUAAAGGGCAUUUCGAAAAAUAAAAGAAAAUAAAAUCUGAAAAAAAUAUCUUGAGCCUCUAAAAAAAGAUAUUAUAUAUAUAUAUAUAUAUAUAUUUAUAUAUAUAUAUAUAUAUUAAAAAAAAGAGCCUCCACACAAAAGAAGCAACGCUGGCCACGAGAUGUGGAUUGGGGAGGGGAAAGUGCGGGGCGCGUCAUUACGCUUUAUGCCACGUCAUCACAGUGGGGGGACACGUGUCGCCGCUCUACUGAGGCGUGGGAAAAGGGCCCCACAGGAAAAGCGAAAAGCGCAAAAAAAAAGGGCAAAAAAGGUCAGCCCACUUGGGCCUUUUCUGAGCCGCUUAUUUUUUUAAAUAAAUAAAUAAAUAUCGGAAAAAGGAGAGCCACAUGAUGGGCUUUACAUUUAUUUGCAAAUUAAUUAAUGCGUGGGGUGGGACCCGCUUCUCCAGAUGGUUCGAUGUGAUGGGCGUUGGUGGCGCGACACGUGCGCGACGGGAGAGGCGGUGGAUGUGGAUCGGACGGUGGAGGGUGAUCGUAGUGGUGGUCGGUCGGGGUGAUUAAGAUGCGGGGCUCCUCGGUCGCGUCCUACCUGGUUUGGCUAAGAUCACAAGAUGUGUAUUCUAACUUUUUUUUUUAAUGUUUAUUUUUUUUUUAAAAGGAAAAAUGUACGGAAUAUAUCUAAACGACGAAUUAUUUUAAAUGGUCUAUAUAUAUAUCUAAUUUUCAAAAAAAAAAUUGAAUAUUAUUACUCAAUCUCUUAAUUUAUUUAAUUUGUCUGUACCGAUUUCAUUAUUGAUAUUUUAUAUAAUUUUUAUAACUAUAAAUUAAUAAAAAUAAGUAAUUAGCUAAACUUAUAAAGCGAACUAAAAUUAAACAAAUAAAUUGAAAGAUUGAAUAGGAAAAACAAAUUUUGGGUGCUUGGGUAACAAGUUUUAUAUAUUUUUACUUUUUUCUAAAAAAAAUCGAGGACAAAUUUGAUAAUAAAGAGUUUUAGGCUACGUUACGGCUGGUGUUUUAGAUUAACACCAACUAUUUUAUGAAUUAUAAGUUACAAAAGGGGGGUUAAGUGCAAAUAUUGAGGGGUUUGUUUGUCAUAUGUUGGAAAUGGGAGGUGUAAAGUGCAAAACCUAAUAUGUGCAAGGGAAUUUUGAUGCAAUUUUCGCCGAAGUUUUAGGAGCUCAAUUUGCACAUUUUAUAGUAAUUUACCAAAAACUUGAACCUCAUUUCCUCAAUUUCAAAUUUAAUAUAUUACGCUCUUUAAGAAUUUUAAUUGUGGUUAAUCGCGUUUAGAUGGCUCUUCAAUUACAAAAUUCAAUUACAAAAUUCAGAUACGAUGUUUGCUUAUUGAAAACACACUCGCACAAAUCAUAUGAUAAGUACAAAUCAAGCCACGCACAAACACGAAAAUAGAAGAGGCAUCAAAUAGUUCAAAUCAAAUAAAUUCAAAAUUUCUGAAAAGGUCGGAUAACCGGAUCAAAAUGGGUCAUAGCACAGGUUAUCAUAAGCUCAAAAAACGAAUUUGUUCACAAACAAGAUGCAUACGCUCAGGAGGAACAUGAAAUGAAUAAAAAUUGAUGCUUCUUCUCUCCACAGCAACAAAUAUAUGCAGGGCUUUUUUUGCAUUUAGCCCCCUGAAGAAUUUUUAUUUUAAAAGUAGCCCUAUCAAAAUUUAAUUUGCAAAAAUAGCCCUACUCCUGCCAUGCAAGCGCCACGUCAGCGCCACGCGGGCGGGGCUGGGGGCGGUAGUUAAGUUAAACACGGUGAAUCAUUCACCAUGUUUAGACACGGUGAAUGAUUCACCGUGUUUAAUACGUAUUUUUUGUAGAGGAAUAGGGAGUUAGGGAUGUUAAUGGGGUAUGGAUAUUCAAAAUAUUAUUCGAACCUAAACCCGAAUAAAUUAUUUUAUAUACAUAAUUUAUUUUUACAUAUUUAUACAAUAUAUAAAAUAUCCAAUAAUUUUUAUUUCUUAGAUCUUCAUCCAAUCCAACGGUAUAAAAUAUCUAAUAAUUUUAAAAAUCUAUACCAUUGGAUUGGAUGAAGAUCUAAGAAAUAAAAAUUAUUAGAUAUUUUAUAUAUUGUAUAAAUAAAUAAAAAUAAAUUAUGUAUAUAUAUAAUUUAUUCGGGUUUAGGUUCGAAUAAUAUUUUGGAUAUCCAUACCCCAUUAACAUCUCUAACUCCCUAUUCUUCUAGGAAAAAAUACGUACUAAACACGGUGAACCAUUCACCGUGUUUGAACACGGUGAAUGGUUCACCGUGUUUAACUUAAUACACUGGCCCAUGCCCAGCCCGCGUGGCGCUGACGUGGCGCCUGCGUGGCAGGUGCAGGGCCAUUUUUGCAAAUUAAAUUUUGAUAGGGCUAUUUUUAAAAUAAAAAUUUACUAGGGGGCUAAAUGCAAAAAAACCCCAUAUAUGCAACAUGCAACUAAAUGGCGAUAAAACUGAAAAGAUUUAAAUGAAAAUUGGCGUAUGUUUCUUCGAUUCGAGCCAUAUAGGGCAUUACCACCAUCAAUUAUAUUCACAAAAUUAUGAAAUAAGGGGAAAUUGAAACCCCCCAACUUUAACUACUAAGGCUAAUUAUACACUCUUAAUAACAAUGGCUCUAGCAGUAUAACAGUAAGAAAAAAUACUGAAAUAGGUUAUAACCCACUUACUCGCAUUCUUCUAUGUAUCCUUCGAAAGGAGAUCUGAAAAUUGGUACUAGGAAAACUCGGUUUGAACCGUCAAGUCCUGUAUGCCCAAAUCGUGACACAAGCCAUGCACAUAAUGAAGGACCGAGUAGUCGUCCGCUCCUUUUUUAACCUGUGCGAUGCAUGCAGGAAAAAAUACAGUGAACGACCGCAUUAGAUUUCCGGGGAUUGAUGUUGCAUGUGUCGCAUUGCACUUCGAUUAGAGAACCUGUUUCUUUAUACUUCGAGGAUUAAGUAGAUCUCAAAGUCUAAAUAUUCAGCCCGGACGUCGAGGCUUUGUGGAAUAGAUAGAUUUCAUUCUCUAUAGUUUUACCUGAAUGGAGAGUGAGCCAAUGGCGUAUCCAGGUACUAGUUCCCAAAACCGAGCUUGAGAAACUUCGGAUACAUCCUCAAGAGCGGAUAUCUAGAGAAUGGCAGUCAUAUGAAACAUGAGAAGCAGAAUGCGAAUGAACAAGAAAAGCGAACAACAGGGGUAAAUUAAAAAAAGAAAGAGAAAAAGGAAAAGUUCUUCUACCUGUCGGCAACAUUUGUUUAAGGCGGAAGGGGGUACGCUUGCAGGUGCCAUUUGCAGUAAGAUACUGCCACUUGCCUUGAACAGCGGCAAUACAACCAUGAAAACUGUGACUGAAACAAGCCCCAAGCACAAGACUUCCGCAUUCUCAACCCUAUCAUGUCACAAUAGACAUUAUAGUAAGUUAUUUGAGAAGGGGAAUAACUUGAAGGGAAAAAAAAAAUGAAGCCAAUAGAUAUUAAUUUACCCUAAUGUUAGAAACCACGAUGCCAGGAUCAAACCUGCACUGAGGAAAAUUGUCGAGGUUUGUUUAGAAUGAAUAACCGUCCAAUUAAACUUACACAAAUAGUCAACUGGUUUAUCACUUAGGGUAAACAAUUAUACCUACGAAUUGAAUCCGAAAGAACAUGUAAGCAAACAGAGUGGUAGUUCAUAUCCUCGGCUUUCCUGUAAACUAAUUAGUAAUGUAAAUCAGCAUGAUUCAUGCAUCUGUUCAUGGCAUCAAAAUUCAUCGGUUGUGAGAGAUAACUGGGCAUCAGGAAUAGCUCGCAUUAGUAGAUGCCAGUAAGAGAAAUAAUUAUGAGAGCAUACCGAUAUUAACACGAGCAUAGCUCCGAAAGAACCAAACGCCGAGUAGAUUCACCAAAAGGUUCGUCACGGCAGAGACAAUUAGGUAGUGCCUACGAUCGAAAGUCAUUUUAUAUGGGAUUAUGUAAAUAAAAGACACUAGAAUUUGCAUAUGAGGCUGCCAAGGUGAGGGAACAUACAAAAUAGCCAUAGAAGACAAUAUUUUUGAGCUACAAGAUAAGAAGUAAGCAUAAAAACAUGGUGAUAUGGAUAUGGAUAUGGAUAGCUGCAUUCCUAAAAAUACACUUUGGAAUUGCUACACACAUAGCCCAAUCCUGCAACUUUAUUAUGAAAUAACAGUGAACCUCUAAUAGCAAAUUGGUGAUCCGUAUUAAAUAUUGGAUCCACGUUUUUCCCCAUUUAAGAAUAUGGACAUUUCCAGCUAAGUUUAUUUCUAAAAUGAAAUAAACGAAGCAGGUAGCAUGCUACCUAUCUCUCAAAAAAAAACAAAGAAUAUGGACAUUUAAGAGGCCCUUUCUCUUAUAAUUAAGUCUCUUAUACUUCUAUAGAAAAAGACGAAAAAAACAGCUGGUGUAACAACUAGGUAAUGAAUUGACAAUCUUUCAACUUCAUGAACAGAUACACUAUCAUAAAUAUCAAGCCCUUAUGGUCAAGUGCCUGACAAAAAAUAACUAUGGAUAACCAGAGAUGGAAAAGCAUGGGCUCAACCUUGGUUGUGAGUGAAAAACAAAUGAUGAAACUCCAACUUCCAAUAUUAUAAAAUUAUAAAAUAUAAUGGAGCUAAUCGUUGCAAAGAUAAGAAGCAGGCAGCCUUUGAGCAACAGUCAUUGUACAUUUAUUUUGUGUAGUGUUCUCUCAGAUUAUAGUAGCGAAUCAGAUGCUACAAAGGUUUUAGCAUUUAUUAGAUAAACAAUGAUCACUGAUGUAUACUUAAUGAUCAUCACUUUAGAGACUGAUGAACAUGAAUAUAUUUUACUAAAACAUAAAAGAAAGCCAUCUCUUUACAGAAGGACUUACUUGUGCUCAGAUUCAUCUUGUAUAAAUGCAUGGAGCGCUUCAACAGCCAAUGAGAAUGACAUAAACAACAAAAACAGCUGUCUACAUGGGUAAUCAUAGAUGUUAGCCCUAAUAAAUCACAAGUAAAAUACAAAACAUGUAAUAUAUAAUGUUAUCAGCUCAUAGUCAUAGAAUAGUGCGGUCAGGAAUUAUGGAUUCUCUAAAUUGCCCUUCACCCGCAAAGUAUGCAACGUAGCCGCACAAACUUUUUGAGUUGUCACAUAUGGGUGCAUUACAUAUAUAAGUGCCUCAGAGUACAGUACAAUCUAAGUGCUCUUAAGAUUCUGCUAAACUCACAAAAAGGAAUGUAUAAAGAAUUGGUUGCCAUCACAUAUGGGGGGUUACACAUAAUGCUGCAUGUCACAUCCAGAUAUAAUGAAACAGCAAUUGAAUAAUUGCAGAUGCCUCUUACUUAUUUUCCUAAGCAAUUCUCAGUUCUGAACAACACACCAAAGGUCCAAAGACAAAUGUAUUUAUUUUUACCUUCGCUCAUUGAAUCUUUUUAUAUUUUUGUUGUGUGCUUUUAUUUAUGGAUGUACAGCUGUAUGGGAAUGUCUGACUGCUGCUAGUUAUAUUUGUCGUAAAAGGAAAGGUGCUCUCUUAACUAUCAAUCAAAAUGAAGUCUUGCUUUGCCGACAAUACAUAUGUAUGUUGGAGGGACGAGAUCUCUUUCACCCUAAAAUAAUAACUGGAGUUGCAUCACGUUUUACCAUUGAAACUACCCAAAAGCUGGUUACAGUAACUUCAGCAUUUAUUUGCAAGUUUUCAGCCAAUCUGAUUCAAUUGUCUAAUGACUCUAAUCAACCUCAGGAACACAAGAACAUUUUUAGUGCUUCAGUUUACAAACGCGAUUGCAUUAUGAAAAUUCUAGACCUUAUAUUGAUAAGAAUUACAUAAAUAUCAUUCAGAAUAAACUUUCUAAACAACAUACUAAAUGCUAUUAAUUGAACAAUCAUUGAAUAUAUAAGCUUGGGUUCUUACAGCAUUUGUGAAUGCGGACAAGACUUCUAAUCUCUUGUACCUAACAGAAACAGCAAAAGGUAAAUAUGGAUACUGAAAUAUGAAUCCAAAAGUAAUUUUCAAAACAAACUACACAAAAUAUCUUCAACCAAGCAGGAUGGAGCAAAACAUUAAUAACUCAACAAAUACCCCCCCUCCCCCCGAAAACUCAUAAUUCUCUAGAUAAAUGAACAUGCAAUACCGAAGUCCGAGGAUAACAACAAGUAAUAGGUUCACAUGGCAACCAAGUUUGAAGCANGCCCAAAAAAAAAAAACAAAUCAAGUAAUAACUCAACAAAUACCCAAAAAUGGAAAGAAAACUCAUAAUUCUCUAGAUAAAUGAACAUGCAAUACCGAAGUCCGAGGAUAACAACAAGUAAUAGGUUCACAUGGCAACCAAGUUUGAAGCAUUUAUCUUAGCAUCAGAGACACGUCUUUGCAAAUUGCAAAAGAAUCCAUAUGAUUCAGGUAUUCAUGCUCUUCUAACUUCAAACAGUACCAAAUAUACGUAUAUACUUGAAGCCUUUUAGCAUUAUUAUUGCCCAAUGAUUAAAAGCAUACACAUAAUUGUAGACAUCUAGCAAGUAUACUGACUUUGCAAAAGCUCCAGCAGGGAGAAACAGGUUCCAAGUUGCAUCAAAGAUCGCCUUCUUUUAUGUUCACAUGAAUCUCAAGUGAUAUAACUUUCCACUUUAUCUCGCGCGAAUUUGAUCUUUUUUUUCUUCAUCAGACUAAUAAAUCAUGACUAAACUUUUUUUUUCAUCAGACCAAUAUAUCAUGACUAAAAAGUAUGAAAUUCAAUAUUUUCAGUCAACUUGUUGCAGGCCGAAACCACUAUAGACAUCACAAAAGGGCAAUAUAUAUUUACUUGCACAUAAAUUUACUUGUUGGUGGACAGUAAACAAAUUAAAAGCAAAAUGAAGGAGGUUUAAUUGGAUGUACAUAAGUCAUAUUCUAUGAUAUGCAAGAAUAAGAAUCUUAAACGACAAUGCGAAUGCCACCUUGAUGAAUUUCUUCAAGAUACUGACAGUGGAUAAUUAAUUCAUCUACAUUUUACUUAGGAUCAGCAACAGGCAAAAUAAGUUUGUAUAGGAAUUAAAAACCAACCCAUAAGUGUACACUUUGUCAGGCUUCCUUCGAGAAGCAGCCAUAGCAAACAAGGAAAAUGUUAAGAGUCCACAACCAAAUGUCAAAUGGAAAGCAUCUGAAACUAAGCCUGCAAAGAGAUCAUUCAACAUGAUAAAGAACAGGAUAAUGUUAAACUGCAAUCAAACAACAACCAGAUAGCAUGGGUUUCAUGCGUUAACACAUCUAUAUACUCCCAUUCGGAAGUUAUUACACCACUCUUAAAGCUCUAACUCUAUGAAAUGCUUGCUAAGAUAUUAUAUAUGCUAUGAACUCCGAACAAAUGAGGAAAUGAUCUAAUGUUAUUUAGUGUUUUUACAUCAUACCAAGAACAAUGCUUGGCAUGAGAUCCUUCGUUUCCUCAAAUUUCAAAAGUAAAACAGUUUGAUUAGUAUAAUUUGAUACGAUAGACAAAAUUCUAAUAUUAUGCCCUCUUUCCACGUCUUACUUUUUUUCUGUGUUGAUGAUUGAUUGAGAAAGAUUAAUGUAGACAAAAUGAGCAAUCCCAAAACCCUCAAUUCCUCAUGCUAGUUUCUAAGCAGUCAUUUGAAGGCAUGAUUCAAACAAAUUUGCUAGGAACUUCAGAAAACCACUUGACAAUUCAGGAAUCCAACCGGAAAUUAUAUUCAUUUGAUUGUUAUCGCAGAUAUAAUCCUAGUUUUUACCUUAAUUUUGAAUCCAGUGAUCGCCAUGAUAUUCGUACGAACUAUAAGGAAGCAUAAAAGCUUAAAACGCUGACCUACACGGCCGGUGAAGAUGCCAAUCAACAGCUCCGCCGUCGAGUACGCCACGUUUAGCGAGAUCAUCAAAGCGAGCCGCUUCAUCGGCCGAUUCCCGAACCUCACAGCCUUGACCAACGACGACACCAUCCCGAUCGCCGUGAGCUUCUCGGUGACGCCCCGAUCGCCGAAACCCUGCCCGAGCCCGUCGAUCUCCACGGGGGGCAUGCUGAUGCUCGAAUCGCUCCGCCCGAGGAAGGGCCGCGAGGAUCGGGUCCUCUCCGCGGGGAUCGGGGAACGGAGAUCGGGUUGGCGAAGGGAGUGUUGGCGAGAGAACGCGAACCUCCGGUCAUCGCUUCCGAGGCCGUAGUCCCCGCCCCAUGGGGGGCGGGAGGGGCCGAGGGAGGAGCUCCGAGAGGGAGGGGGAGGCGGAGGGAGCUUGGGGGCGGCUUCGGGGAGGAGGGAUUGGCGAAGAGCGGCUUCGUCCUCCAUGGAGGGGAUCCGGUUAUGAACUAGGGUUUAGGUAAGCGGAGAAACCCUAAGCUCGUGAUCCGAUCGAAUGCGAGGAGGAAGAAGAGGAUAUAAGCAUCAGUGUAUGAGACAGAGAUUUUUUAUUUUUUUUUUUCUUUUUUUUAAAGGGGAGGGAGAAGAAGCGUAAAAUUUAGCAUGAACCGGGCUCACCACGUCAGUCGUAGACCGCACCUCCAAAACUUUUUGCUUGGACUACUCUAAACACGGACCAAAUUAUACGCUUUGUUUCGACCAAAGUGUACAUCCCCCUCCCCAUCAUUUUAAAAAAUAUAUAUAUUUUAAUAUUAAAAAAAAAAAAAAAAAGUUAGCAAAGCAAUAUGAACCUUUUGAACACUUUUGGAGUGUACGGAUGACAUUGCUCUUGGACUAAAUUAGACUUCGACGAACUAUCUAAUAGAAAAUAUAACAAUUAAUUUUACUUUUUUUCAUCCUCAAAUAUAUGAUAAUUAAGAAAGAUGUUAUAACUACUUUACGGAAAGUUUUUUCCAGAAUGUUGGUAAGUACAGUCUAAAAACUAGAAUUCAACUCUUUAAAAUUCUAUGAUCCAGGGUAAAGCCAAACAGGAUACACAUAGAAAAAUCCGAUAAUAAUUACAAACCACGAAACAAAAUUUUUAAAUAAGAUAAUAUAAAAUUAAACAAGAUGAGUGCAAAUUCUUUGAACGUUCAGAGUGCCUGAAAUUACAAGAAUAAAAGAAAAACACAAUCCUUGCAUUUUCACAAACAACGCCAUCGUCAUCCCCGUCGGAUUACAUAUACUUGUUACAGAAAAAAACCAAAAAGAAAAGAGUAUACAUAUCUCAAUGUAGAAUACCACGACCAGCCAAAAAAAAAAAGGACCUCGUCCACAACCCCAACACAAAUCCUUAUUUGAGGAACAAAAUUUACCCGCAAUGUACAAGUGAUCUUCAUGAAGAGACAAAUGCAGGAUUGUUUUGUGUUACAUGCCUUCAAAAACGAUUCAACCCAAAUUACGAUAAAUUACACAUUGCUUACUAAAAGAUUUAGCCCUAAUAAGCUACUAGAUUGCUCACUUCAUAUGAGGUAAAGACCCCCAAAACAAGGGAACUAAUUAACAAUCAUGCACAGAUAAUAGAGCAGAUAAUACAAUUAGGCAGCCUCUAGGAAAAAUAUAGAACUAGUAGUUCAUACAACAACAAUAGAAAUAUCGGAACUAGCAAUGAUUUAGCAUAUAUACAAAUAGGCCGCAUAACGGUUUAAUGUCCUGACACAGGCACAAAAUAAAAUCAGGGGGAAUGGGAAUGGGGAAAGACGCCGAUUUACUCCUUGUGGUUGCUGUUCGAGCGGUCUUUCUUCUGGCCCCCGAGAAUACGGGAAAUUUGCAGGCCUCUGCUGAAGGCUUGAUUGAAAAGCAUCCUUGUCUGGAACUCGGAAACAAACGGGAACCAGGCCAAGAAGGCGAUCGGAGUGAACAGGAGAAGGCCCAUUAUGAUUUCGUAGCCCCGAGCUAGUGCCUUCACGGAUUGCCAUAUCUUAGCCCUUACAACGAGAGGCUUACAAGCUUGUGCAAUCUGAGAUGAAGGCCAAGAAAGAAGGUAUGUGAUUAGAAAGGAACUAAUAAGUGCCUGCUUUGGCUUGGCCUCUGGGAUUUAUAUAUUCCGGAAAUUAAAGCUUCAAAAUCAGGAGCUUUCCGGGCCGCAAAAGCCGAAACUCCUAUUUGAAGCUUCUGCUUCAGCAGCAACCAACAGCUGUUAGUGAAAUGAAUAAGCUGUUGGAGACUUGGAGCCUCUCCGAAGAGCUCUACUACUCAAUCAACCAUUUUAUGUGAAAGGUUCGAAUUGCAAAACCAGAGACAAACAAGCAAAGCAAAUUACUGAAAAGAAAUAGCUGAAAUAAAAAGAGUACCUGAAGCAUCCCCCAUCCGGUUGGCAAGAAAGCAAGGCAGCAGACAAAUAUGUCUUGAACAGUCAUGUGAGCAAAUGCUAUGAGGACUACAAGUAUGGAAAUGAAAGUUACAAAGAGAAGGCCCUUUAUUAGCCGGAAAACAAGCUGAUAAUGGGCACUGAAUUUUAGCCGACCAACAGACACCACCUGCAGAAGGAAAAUAUAUAAACAAGUCAGUAAAGCAACAGCGGUACCAAUUAAGCACAUAAAUGCAAGCCAUCGCAGUUUAUGCUUGAACAUAAAGCAUAACCAAGUAAGAGUUAUAAACACUGUUCGUAGAAUCCCGAUGUCCCAUCUUUUUGUAGAUUGCCGAAGACGCCUGCUUUCUUAGUGACUACCAACUCUCGAUGACAAAACAUAAAUGCUGUGCAUAUACUAAUGUGAUUUGACUGUAACCAACCACACGGGUCGAGAGGAAGAUUCUCUCUACUGACUCGUAAGGAGAUUAAUGGGCCAAGAUUCUAAAAUAUUAUGCUUCUAGGAGGCAAUUAACAACCCUGAUUGCAUAAAACAAAUGCAAUUCAACUCUUAAGAACAAUCUAUGAGGAAAGGCCAUUUAGAAUAAAAUGGCCUAUGUUGGUGGUUGAAGGAACGCUACUUUACCUUCAUGACAAGCAAUAUCACCAAGAUCACAAGCCACGAUACACAAUAGACCUGAAAAUAUUACAAAUCACAAGGCAAGAAUGAGAUUUUCUUUGGAUAAUUGGUGAAAAAUGAUAAGCAGCAAAUGAGUAAUGCAUCAGUAUAUGUCAAGUUGAAGGGCAAAAGAUACCAGCACACUCUGGGUCUUGAACCUCUUAGUUAUAUUCAAAUGAUACACGAGCCCAUAUUGAUAUAUAAAGAAGCGUAAUGCAAGUAGUAUUUCAACAACAAUCCCACGCUUCCCAGAAUGCCUAAGAUGUUCGUGCUCCAUCUCCCACCACGAUUCCCAACUCUUCUCUGGAAGCACACCGAUGCCCCCACGGUUGCUGAUCCACUUAUGCCAAUCAGUCCAAUCAUCGACAAUCUUUUGCCAUUCAAAACCCGAAGGGUUAAAGAGAAAAGGAGCAAAAAGCCAGGUGCCGACCAUAAACCACAUAGACACAGUAAUAAAGAUGUAUGCAACAGCACCUCUAUAUGACUGACCAAAGAUUUCGUACACAAUAAGCAGAAUCAUCAGCUCAAUACCCUUAACAAAAUGACUGCGAGAAUACAAACGAUAAUUGUCGGCAAACUUGGCGUGGAACACCACAAAUCCACGACCUGUAGCUCUAUAUUCGGCACCUCCAUGGAGCAACGUCCUUCCAUAAUAAUGUGUCUUAGUCCCUAGAGAGAACGUAAAGAAUACUGAAGCGAGUUGUAGUUGCAUAAGAAUGAAUUCACUCAACGCAGUUCGGAACCCGUUCUCCAGACCAAUUUCCAUCAUCAUAGGAAGUGCCAUCAAGAAGCCUAGCUGCACAAAGGACUGAGAAACUAGAGCAACCUGAAGAGGCUCAUUGUGAAUGAAUCUUUUUCCGGUUGAUAGUGCUGCAUCAAGACCACUGAGAACAAGAUACAGGCGUCCAUACAGGAAUACAUACACUAUCAAGACAGUUAUCUGCACCAAUCAAUCAGGUAAAAGUUAAUUACUUACUGCAAACUAGUUAUAGCUAUGAAAGGAUUUCAGUGUAUAAAGAUGUACCAUUGUACUGAAGUAGAAGCCUACUGUAGUGAAGUAACAUGACAGCAUUCUAAAGAAAUCAAAACGGUGUCCGAGCCUGUAGAUGUCACGACUUAAUGUUUGUUCCCCGUUACCAUUUGCUAUCUUCGCCUCGAAUAGAGAGAUUUGAUUAAGACCCACAUCUCUUCCCUUGCCAACUUGCAUGUAUUCAUGAUGAGUAACAUUGCCUUCACGCAGCGUCGAAUUGAAACCUGGCAUACAGAAAAAACAUAUGUCAUGAUAAAAAAAUUUUGAAGCAUGAAUCGAGAAAUGAAAGACCUGCAUACCUGCAAAUAUGUCCUCACUCAAAUUGAUAAUUUUGGACGCCUUGCUUAUACCACCCCUCGUUAGGUGGAAAAGCCGGUCGAAGACAUCAGGAUGACCAUAAUGGAACCGAACCCUGCACAGGAAAAAGGAGGUUCAGAGAAGAGAGAAAAAGGUUGUAGAACAUUGUAGGAAAGAAAUGAACACGCCUUAACAUCAAGCAUUUCUCAACUAGCACACAAAACCGCAAAAAUGAUUAGACUGAAGUUCCUAGAAGACAAUAACAGAAAAAGGAACCAAAAAUGAGAGGUAAAAAAAAAACACUAAAAUCCACCCAAAUAUAUGAUGAUUGCUCGCCAAGUAGAUUGAAAUUCAAAACCUUGGUAGAGAUCAGAUUCCAACGGUAAUCUUAUAAAAAUUAAACCUUAGUAUAUAGCUUUCAAUCCUACAGCUAAAGCUGCUUGUAUAAUUUUUAGCUUUCUGAUUCUAUCAUCAACGCCCAUUGACAAAGAAACUGAUGGGGAAUCGGGUCUUUUUCGGAUAUAUACUCGUCGUCAGAACCGUAUUCAGAAUAUUUGGUUGGACGAUGGACCAGUACUAGAAGUCUGACGUAAAUCUGAGUUUGAUUUCAGAUUCGGUGGGUUAAUUUUGAGAGUUUUAUUAGAUUAGGAUUUUUUUACUUUAUUUGGAAGCUUUAGAUUAGAAUUCUAUUCCUUUCUAAAACUCUGUUUUGAUUUCUGCUAUGAGAAUUUGUUUAAUUCCCUUUUUAGGACUCCUAGUCGUGUUCCUAGUCGUUUUAACCCAUAUUCUAUAAAUAAGGGUCAAGACUCUGUAAUAAUGUAUGCUUUUGAUUAAUGAAAAUUGAAUUAUUUGAAUUCCUCCUGAAUUUUCCUUGCCUUUGCGAAAGCGUCGACUGGAUUGAAUCCGGCUCGAGAGCUCAGUCCCGUGGAUUAUCUUUUCCUUUUUCGUUUAUCUUCUAUUUUAUUUUAGCCGUUAGAUUACAAAUAAAAGAUAGCCACUGAGAUCGACCUAUCUGUGCGGGACUCACCAGCAGGAUCUCCGCACAACAAGGAUGUACAGGAGAAGCCGUUCGUGAGGCGCAUUCCCCCUACGAUCCCGUCGUUGCCGCAGCAACCAUCUAAUCGAGAUUGCAAUCCAAGCCUUCUCCGUGGAAACGAGUCGUCAUCGAAUCCUUCAAUUUCUCUAUUCUUUCUAUGGAUAAUUCCUAAUUCCUAUUAUCCUAUUUCUAAUUCCCUCCCUUUCUAAACCCUUACUCUAGCUCUCUUUUCCACUAUUUUAGAAGUUCUAACGAAGCAGCUAAGAUCCGAUGAUCGAAAGAAGUUACAUCGACUCGCUCACGUGCAGACAAUGGAUCCGACCUUGCGGAAACUCGAAGGUAUGAUCUUUCCCUAACCAAUCUCUUAUUUGAGUUAUCGAAUUUCCAGAUUUGUUGUUUAUUUCUUUUUAGUUUGAUUUAUAGGAAUCGCUUGAUAUGUAUUUUGAGCAAUUCUCGAAAGCCCCUAAACUCCCUAAACUGUCCUGCAUUGGUAACACUAACGGAAAAAAAACCCCAUAAUGUCACAGCCAAAAUUAGAAGACUCACCUCAAUGGGUUGGCAAGUACACGUUGCCCAAUAGUCACAAAACUGGUCUCCUGAUUUGACAUAAACCAUGCAAGAGAAGAAACACUGCACAAUGUACCAGAUCAGAAAUUGUACCCGUCAGAACUUGAACAUCAAAAGGCCUCCAAGUUGGUUGGCUUCUAAGAAUGUAAAGUACCUACCUUCCAGUAAAUAUAUGUUCCCUAACUCCAAGUAUUGAGGGAUAUCUCACACCAUCGUGCUUCUUCAGGAAUUCUUGCAACAGAUUUCUCAUCUUGAAUGCCUCCUCCAUGUAGUGCUCCUAUAUUUGGUGCAAGAGAAGAUAGGAUGCUAAAUAACAUCACCACAAACCAAAAGCAAAAAUAGACUUGUUUACCUGGUUCAUAUCUAUAGCCUGCAAGCCUUCACCUCGCGUGAAAAUAAUAGCAUGAUUUUGGUUUUCAGGCUUCCCUUCACCUAAUAUGGGAUAGCCAGGAAGCUUUAUCCGGUAAAUUACCUGUGCAUCAGAAACACAGACGAUCAACAGUAUUUCUACAACUGCAGAGACUAAUGCACAGAAGAGCCUUAGAAAUAUUGCAUCAUUUAAUAACAUGAAAGGUUCAUGAUAAAUAGAAAACCAAUUGGAACAGCUAUUAGAUCUUACGAAAGAUAUAUACUGAAGUUCAAAAAACGAAAAAAUCUCACAAAAUCUGACGGCAGAAUUAGGAUGAGAAAUUUUUCAUAUUGAAAGCAUUACAAUUUCUAUUCUCAAGACAAUCAUGGAAAUACCAGUACAUUAGUGCAUCUCAUAAUAUAACACUCAAAAUCGGAAAUUAAUGAAGAGUACGCAGAUUUUAGCAUUUUGGAACCAUAUAUUUGGAUCACAAGACCAUUCAAUGAGGUCCAAUUUUCACAUCCUUCAUUGGACAAAAAAGACUCACAAACUCAUCAUCGGCAACUAGUGCCCAACUAGCCUGUCUUAAAGCAUUGGAUAACUAAAACAGAGACUAGAUAUAACUAAUGAAAAUGUUAACUACGUGAAGAUAGAAAAGAUUGCUAAAGCUGUCGGUUAGAAUGCGGAAGUUAAAGCAAAGAUGACGUAGAUAACAAGUGAGUUUUCUACUCCUUAAAACUAAUACACCGAUCAUAGUUUACAAGAGACACCACUUAGAGAGAGGUUAGAAUAGGUAAUUGAGAACUAGAUUGGCAUGCUGGAUAGAACAAUCAAACUUGUAUGCAGAUCACGAGUUGAUCAUUUGAUUUAUUUAUAUCCAGCUAAGGCAGAAUGGACCAUACAAAGCAAGAUGGAAAUAGUGAGUUGAUAGUUGGGGAAGCUAUAACAAGUGAAGGAAUCUGAUAGAUGAGGGCAAAAUUGGAAGGGAUCCAGUUGAAUCAUUCCAUAGAGAUUUAAUGCCUUACUAUAAACUGGAUCUGGGAUGAUCAGAAUGGCCCUCAAUUGGAUUUAACGUCUCACUAUAAAUUGGAUAUGGGAAUGAGAGAUUAAAUUCAAAUAGUUUGUCACUCGCACUCUAUUGUUUAAACCUAAUAAUCAUGGGAUUAAAAAGAAAGGGGUAAGCCACAAAAGUAUACACGAAAAAAAAAAAAAAAAAAAAAAAAUUACCUACUACAUACGGUGCAAAUGUGCAGUCUAUAUCAUGCACACAAAACAAGCAGAUCAAACAAGCGAACAACUAUAGGUCAAAGGAGAAAUACAACUUCACCGUAAAAUAAACCAGUCAUCGCCAGCUCAAUCUGAUAAAGAAGUGCUAUAGGACAACUAUUUCAAACAGUUAUAUUUGAUCCUUCAAAUUUUCAUCAAAUCUAUCUGUCAGUCAAUAUAUAUUGGAUAUAUUAAUCUAGAAGACUUCAGCAUGCAUUAAAAACAAGGCAAUCAAGAUUCAACGAUGUCUUCCCCAGGAUAAUAUUCCUAGGAGUUUGCCAUAUUAGAGCUCGGUUAAGUCAAGAUAUUUAGCGGUAACAACUAAAUUUCCUUACAAUGAUUUGUUAAAUCAAUAUUCUGUGUCAUAAGCCUCUCACAAAAUGCAUGUCAGCAAAUGUGACUUCGGAGAAAUAAUUACCAUCCAGAGAAAGGAAAAAAUAUUUCUUUCCUCGACAGGUGAGAAAGGAAUGAUUUUCAAAUAUAUCAAAUGUAUAUAAGAAUAAUUUAAUACAAGACAAUAUAUUACCUGGUCAAGAUUUUGUACUGUCUCUGAAGAUUCAUCAGUUUUAGUCGAAGCCGCCGCCUUUACCAGUGCAGAGUAAUAAACCUUCUCAAUCUUUUUAGACCUAUCUUUGCUAGUCUCUUCUACCUCAUCAACAUAAGCGACACGAAGAGAUGGAUAUCUGCCAAAACAACGCCAUCCUUUCUAGUCAAAGAGAGUAUAGAAACAUAAUUUGUACAAACUAGAAAUAUAGAUCAGAGAAAAAAGAGCAGAGUGUCCCUGGUAGGCUUAAUAAAGAGCCGCAACUUUAACAAUUGAAUUAAACUUUCUCAUGUGCAUACAUUGUGUACUUGAUAAUGCAUGUAAAAAGGAGAUACAACAUAAUUUAGCAUAUGAAGAUGCUAUACAAUAAGCAUACAACUUACACAAAGACAAUCCCAAAAAAAAGGGGGAAAAGUGAAAUGUGUUAUUUUAACAAUGAACUCAGUAAAACAACAAGUGGCAGCCAUGUUGCCCAUCGGCACGGUGGGGGCACAGGCCUGUGCCCAAUGUACCGACAAGAUAUCAGCACAAUACGACCCCUUUGUCGAUGACACAUCUCAAAACCCUCUUUUUAUUAAAUUUAGCAAGUAGUUACCUCAAUAAAGUGCAAAAGAUUUGAUAAAAAUAUAUAACAAGGAAUAUAUAACAAGGAAAAUAUUGGUGCCAAAGAAAAUUAAUAUUUUAUGCCACUGGGUGUAGGCAUACAAGUAUUUUUUUUGACCGGCACGAUAUUAGCACGGCACAUCACGCAUUGAGACGCACCAUGCAAAAAGUAUUCAGCACAACCCCGUGCCACGACACUUAAAUUCUUACUAAGAGAAAUCAUACAUACGUUGUCAUGAGUCUUAGAAUAUCCUGUGCACGAUGAUCUCCUGAACGUUUCUGAAUUCCAUAGUUUUGGCAAGAGACAACAUAUGUGAACUUCAUAUCAGCUACAGCCUGGCAUUGAGCCCAUAAAGAUCUUCCAACAUUAUCCUCAGCUGCUCUGUAACCUUCCAUAAGAUCUGAAGAAAGUAUCAAACAAUGUUAUUGAAGAAGUCAUUACUUUUGAAGUGGUGAAUUAGGAAAUCAUGCAAUCAACAGUUCACAUCGGAACUACCUUCAUCUUUGGCCAUAUCAAGAAAAGCCUGAAGUUCCAAAGCUUUUCGAUAGUACAUCAUUCCUCUGACUGUAAAUAAGUACAAACAAAAGUGCGGUAGAAGGUAAAGCAAAAGAUAUGUUAUGUGAUUAGAGAGAGAAUGUAUAAUAAGCAGGAAAAGGGUGGGGAAAACCCACAAUAGAAAUCAAAUACCUGUUCUAGUUAAAGUCUGACCCCUAUAUGACGCCCAAAGACGAAGCUCCUCUUCCAACUCAGGAUUUUCACGAAGCUGUUCCUCCGUAGUGCACCCUACUCGCUCAAGAAAGUUUUUCCAUUCAUCUACAAAGCAGCAGCACAUGAAAGAUCAGUUCAAAUUUUGACGGUUAAUAGAACAUUCUGAACGUCGAUCUAUUAGGAAUAGAAAAGACCUGGAUAUAUUUUUUGCAAGUAGAAAAGGAUGGAAACUCCGUCUUCAUUUUCCGCCUUUAGACCUUCUAAAGAGAAAAUAACAUCUUCCUUGUAGUAGGGUGUCAAGACACUGGCAGAGGAAGCCAUGCCAGCAAAAUCAAAAAAGGGUUCACGUAGAAGAACCAAAUAGUUAAAUAUGGAGAAAGCAGCAAAUAAAAAAAACCAAAAUAUUCUAAUGAUGAUCCCGCUCAUUAUGACUAUAAACUAGACUGUACAUCCAAGUAGAACCAUCAUUUCUCAUGAAAUAUAGCUCUUUUCAUUAAGUACGGUAAUUAACAUGAAUUUAAGGAAGAGAAUACGCGUUUGUUUUAUCAUAGGAAGGCCCUACAUGUUGGAAGUUAUGGCGCAGACAUUGAUAGUUCCCACACAAAUACAGAAAAGCCAAGAUAUAACAAACAGGAAAUAAGAUCGGAAAUCCAAAGAGAAUAAACAUAUACAUUCUUAUCAGACAAAUCAGCACAACCAGUGCAAGGAAAUAACAAUUGUGCAGAUAAGAAUCCAAAGUUAGGAAAUAUAACUCCCGAACCCAUUACAUGAGUAUACAGAACCAAUUUUGAGACUUACGAGAAUGAUAGCAUAUUACGGACUUUAGGAGCAUUGGGCAUAUCCAUAAACAAAGAAUUGGAAAAGAAAGAUAUACGCCUUCUAGCAUCAAGGUUCGUAGGAACAUCCAUCGCAGAUUCCUUCACAGUGAGCAACAGAUAAAGUCUCUUGAUCUGGAAUCAUUAAAUCACAAUAAACCCAAUAGUCAAUUUGUCAGAAUGGCAUAGAAAAUACAUUCAAGCAUAUAAAAAGCAAAAAAGAAGUCAAUUAUCAAAACAAGGUGAAAGGAAAGUUCAUAUAUCAAAAUAAACAAACCUUCUCGGUCCAUGCAUCAGAUUCUUCAACAGGAAACUUAAGGGCUCGGGUGAACAACUGAUCCUGUUGAUCGAGUGGCGUUAUACCCUCAUGCAUUUUAGAAGCUCCACCAUGGAUGGAAUCCAAAAGACUGCAAGAAAUGUACAAUGAUCAUAAUUUGGUUUACUACAAAGUACAAACUGACCACAGACUCAAUUUAGCAUGCACAAGAGAAAUUUUUUUUGUUGAAAAUUUAUCAUACUUGAUACAAUAGAUAACAGAAGUACCUCCAAGUUUUAAGCACAAGAUACUAUAUGCAAACAAAAUGCUUAAAAGUGAAGAGCUGUAUUGCAACCAUUUUGAUAAAAAUCCAAGGAUAUGAUUACCUAAACAGAAGCGAAUAUAGGGUAUUACAUCAAUUUUCCAGUUUGACCUACCUCCUACUGCUUUAAGCUGCACUCACCUCUAACAGCAUGCAAUGCACAUAGAAAAGUUUAGAGCUUAUCACAUCACGAAAAGAGGAGAUGAUAUUUGGAGACCCAAAGCAAAAGUUCUAAUUUGGAGCUUUUUGUUUGACCGGUGACCGCUGAGAGAAGGUAAAUAAAAGAUUUAAUACAGUGCUUCACCUAAUAGCACUAAUCAAACAACACUUCAGCAAACACUACACCCUAUGGUAGGGCCAAACAGGCCCUAAGGUAGUAAAAAGUGGUAAGAUGGCACAAAAAGCAUUGCCAGGAACUGACUGCCUUGCCUCUGGCAUAUGCAGCAACUAUGCAGAGUAUAAGCGGUGCUUCUUUGUAGACCGAAUGUAUACAUUAGCAGGUACACAUAAUCAGAUCAAGUCUGUACAGAAUUAACUACACGCUAAAUAUUAAAUCAUCCAGAAAAUAUGUAACAGUCCAAAGUUAUUGUUAGCCCAUCCAAACUACACUUUCAACGUUAUUCUUCUCCCAUACGAACUUCUUUAUCUAAUAAUAAACUUGAAAAGUUAGAAUAGAGAAAUUUCAGAAUUCAUCACUUCAUUGCUCUAUCACCCCUGAGAUAAAAAGUAGCAAUAUCAUAUUUACUUCAGCAAAGGUUUAUUCAUCAUUCUUACCCAGAGAGUUGUUCGUCCAUUAUAUGUUCGUCCAUUAUAUCCCUUGUGACCACCUCAAGCAUGUCUUGGAAAAGAAUAAUAACCUUAUCUAAGUCUUCCUCCUUAUUUUUCUUCUGCGGUGACAUACAAAGUUGAAUGAGACCAUAUCCUUUGCAAAAUUGUGAGAAAGCAACUGAAUCAUGACGUUAAGUUCAUACCAGUAGAUCAAUCAAUUCAACAAACUUGUUAUAUAGAUCGGGGAGGAACCUCAUGUUCAAGCCCUUUAUCAAUGUAUCAUUCCCAAUGUGCCCAUCCACUGCAUCAAAAAUUUUUCUUAUGACCCUGAAAAAUGUUAGUAGUUUCAUAAGACAAAAAGGCAUAGUAAUGCCCGACGUGUAAAACCAACAGUCGACAAAAGAAGAAAAUACAACUCACUCUUUUUCACGCCGACCAACAACUAAACUAUUUAUAAUGUUCUUAAAAGAUGCGUAGCACUCCCUAACAGCAGAGAGCAUAUAAGGAUCUGAAUAAACUCUCUUCUUCAGUUCACGAUCUUUUCCAUCACUGUCUGCUGCCAUAUCCAAUGCUAUUGGAAUCUAGACAUCAAGCUAUUAGAAUCAGACCGUUUUAUGAGCACAGAAAGCUAACAUAUUAUUCACACAAUUGAGAAAGAGAGAGAGCUCAAAUGUGUGCAAAUAAGGGGCCGAACCUUGCUUGCAAGCAGGAAAGGAGGCCACUGGAAAAGGUCCAAGUCACGAUCUUUUGAGUAGGGAACAAGCAACAGUUCCAUUUCGCUAGAUUCAACUGGUUAGUUAAUGUCACAUACUCAAAAGAAAAAAAAAAAGAAAUGCAACAAAACAGUUUAAAACGUAUUGUCAUACUUGUUGGUUAUCAAGUCCUCUUCCCGAAAACUGGUGAUUAUCUUGUUCCAAAUUUGAGCAAACCUUGCUGCUGCCUUCUCGUUGUCACUAGCAGGCGUCUGAAACCCCGAGGUGCAAAAAGAGAGCAAAAUGAAAACAUAAUCUAGCAAGAUCACUUUGUCAUAGCAAACAACAAAGUUACAGCAGCUGUACAGUCGCAUAAUAAACAUAAGGCAAGGAACUUAACCUCAGCAAAUUUGCUUGAUAAAGAAGCCCGUAACCCUUUCCUUUUGUUAUCAGACUUCUCAACUGGAACCAAGCGCGCAUUGAAAGCACCAGGCAAUGAUUGAAAUCGAGAUCUUAGCAUUCCUAGAGUGCGGAUCUGUUCUCAUAAAACAAAAAAAAAAAGCAUGUAAAAUCAUGGAAAAUAACACAAAAACAAAAUUAUGUUGUUUUAGAUAUUAAAAAGACAAAUUCAGCAUCCAAAGCAGCUAGUGCCUAUUAUAAUAGUAAACAUGAGUGAUUGGCCAAAAAUCAAUACUAAAAUUGAAUAUAAUUAAAAAUUAAACGAGUUAAGGUACUCCACUGUUCUUUCUUCAACUUAAAACUGCUCACUUGCUUGCAAUGAAAUCCUAAACGGGUAAGAUGUUUCGACAAACGUGUAGGGCAUUUAAGCAUUUACUUUGCAAAUUUUAUCUUUAAUUUUGGAUAUACAUUUCAGUUUGUUCUUAGAUUAGCUUUUGGAGAGCAGGUAAAAACGAUGUAAAUUAUGUCAAAGGAGGAUCAAAGGACAGAUCGUCUUCUCAGUCCAUCACAUACUCCUGUAUUCAUGGAAUUGGGUCUCUUAGUGAUCAAAUCUUCUAGCAAUCAUAUCUACUGUGCCUUACUAAAGCUGCAGAACUCAUCCCAUCAAAAAGUUCCUUGCAUAGAAAGAUAACAAUAAGAUGAGAGGCAUAUAUGCCUUGAUCAAAUCUUCUAGCAAUCAUCCUUACCAUGCAUUACUAAAACCGCAGAACUCCUUCCAUCAAAAAGUUCCUUACAAUACAAAGAGGCAUAUCCCUUGCACACGAAUAUGGCAAUCAAAACAAAAAUCAACAUACCAACAUACACAGCCUAUCAUCAAAAAACAAUACUUUAAUUCCUAAGCGGUCUGAAUUGCAUUGCAGCUUCAAGAGAUUCAAACUAAGGUAGCUGUAAUCUAAAACUAGCAUACUCAAAAAUAAAUAAAUAAAAAAUGUAACUACCUACUCUAAGGGCACAAAUACACAAGCAAUGUGAAUCAACUAUCACAAUCCAGGUUGUUUAGUAUAUUUAGGAAAGAAGUAACUCAGAGAAAAGAGGCAUGACCAAACCUCUCCAAGGCGACGGAGAGCACCAUAAAUACCACCAACUAAAGUUGAGAAAAUUGCAUACCAAAUCUGAGUAUCCAUGAAGUAUACCUAGAGGCAUCCAUUAACUAAAUUAGCAAUAAUUGAAAAAACAAAAAGCAAAGAUAGCUUGUACUUGCAGGCAGAAUUAAAGGAAGCUUACAAGAACAAUUGGAGCCCAAAGUGCAAUCACAACACCAAUAUUGUUAUUUGCUGCAGAUAGGAUUAACAACAUAAGCUGAAUUUCACUAACAUCAAGUGGUGUAAAAUCAUACUCGAGUUAGUACCAUGUGGGAAGAAUUCGUGCCACUGAAAAGAUGUAAUAGGUUCUCUCAUGAUAUCUUUUGUUGGUUUUACAAGAGGCUUUAUCUGCAUUGAGAAAGUUCAUAGGCAAUAAAUCCACAGUAAUUUGAUAAAAUCGAAGUUAAAAUAAGUAAGGAAGACGCAAAACAUAGGAGAGAAAUUUACACAAGCACAAAUAAUUUUACACAAGCACAGUUGAUUGUGACAAGUAUAUUUCUCAUAUCGACCGAGUUACCGAAAAAUUCUUCUUACUUUUUCUUCCAAAUUAGCUCCAUCAAUUCAAGUUUAUUAAAAAUUUUAACUUCAUGAAAACAAUGAAGAGUUUAAAAACAAAGAAAGAUGCUGCAGGGAGAAAGUUUUCAUUAAAAGCACCAUACAAGGGUCAAUAAUGCACCAUUAAGCCUAUGAUCUGCUAUACAUGAUUAACAUCACAUAAACAUCAUGAUUCAAAUUAAAUGAUUACAAAUUAUAAUUAUACACAACAUUCAUUUUCUCCAAUGCAAAAUAUUCAUGGAUAUGGAGGUAGUAAAGACUAGGCACUAAAGGAACAUGUUCCACAUUAUCAAGAUGAAUUUUUCCAUACAGCCUUCAUUCAUGUAGUAGCAGAACUCAACCAAGGAUAAAAAAGAAAAGAAAAAACAAACGAAGAAAAGAGCUACCUCAAUGUAGAAACUAAAUGCCAACUUCGUCGCUAAAAGAAGAACCCAGAACAUAGUAUACCUGAUAUUUGGCAAACAGUCAGUGCAAGGAAAACAGUAGGCCAGUAUUCAAUAUUAACAUCUACGAAGAGAAAUAAUACUGAAUCUUACUUGAAAAGGGAGAAUGCGCCCUCAUGCAUACCCCUUCCGACAUACAAUCGAGGCUGCCAGUUACAGAAGUUAUUGAACUGGACUUCUAAAGCAAAUGCUCUACAAACUAAUCCAUAACAUAAAUAAAGAAGAAGUCAAACUAAAUACCUGAGACCACCACAUCAUGAAUGUUACGAUCUUAAGGUUUGAUCUCUCAAGAAUUCGCCUUAGGAGUGGAAAAAGAAACAACAAAGCAGAAAGAAUAUUUGGCGAUAAAUAUAUGACCACGGCCAAGAUGUAAAGUGACGGCUGAUUCUGACCAUCACCCAGCCAACCUUUGAUUGUCUUGGCUAGACCAGUAGGAUUCUCCCAUGUGUAGGCAUAAGUUACAGGUAGAACUACCACCCACGCAGCAGCUGAUAUCAACUUCAAAAUAAAUCGCAGCUUAACUGCUAGGGACAUACUUCUUCUUGCUUUCCAACUCAAAAUUAUAUCAAGGAUGGCUGCAGAGGUAAACAAUCAUCAAACAUAAAACUAGUGAAUAUAUGUUAAUUUAAUGAAUGAGAGACAAAAACCAGGAAAUGUAUGAAGUUAUACGCCAUAAAAUACAUCACAACUUUCGUAACUCUGUAGCCAAUUAUUUUUGUAGUCAAUAAAAAAUACACAGGAAUAUAGCAUCACAGUUACAAAUCAUGAAAUCUGCAGCAAACUCUCUUGUCAAAGAUCAAUGAGUUUACCUUGUAGAACUGGUUUCUGCGUGAUUAAAAUGUUUUAACUAAACGAACAAAACUGGCAGUUGUUAAUUAAUAGGGACCUACUUAAUCCUGAAUUAUAAAACAUCAUGACUACAACUUUAAAAGAAAAAUCUUGCUAAGUUCAUUAUUCAUCCUCAUUCAACUCAUUAGAAAGCUGAGAUCAGCAACUUCUCGGUUGCUGAGAAUAAUCACAUUAAUAUGCUAAAAUUAUGCAAAUCCAAAACAACUAUCCAUGAUAGAAUAGUAAAAUCCAGCAGUAGCAGAGACUGAUGUGGAGUAACAACAAGAAUCUACAUAAAAAUUGGAAUAAUGGUUUACGAAAUAAACAGUUAUUAGGAGAACAGAUAAGAAAGAAAAGGCACAAGCUAAAUAAAGUCGACUAAACGAUACCUCAAGUGUAUGUGGAAUUCUCAAAAGCUUAGGGGGUAUUUGGUUCCCCCGAAAAAAACUCCCAGAAAAAAGUUUUCUGGCUGGAAAAGUAUUUUCCAUUAGUUUGGUUCCAAAGGAAUGUAAUUUUUCUGGAAAAAGUUUGUUUUUCCAGAUUUCAUGGAAAUGUCUCCUUUUCAUUUUCCAGAUUUUCUUAUCUGGAAAACAAAAAUGAAAACUAUGAUAGGGUGUUUUCAUGGAAUUUUUUUCCCCCGGAAAACAGAUUUCCACGAUUUCCCGAGAAACCAAACACCCCUUUAGCAGCUUAGAAAAUAAUGUCAGAACAAACCUUGUCCCAAUUUUAGUAUAGCAGCAGUUAUAAAUAUGCUCAAAACCUUCUUAAACACUCCACCAUCAAAGAUAUCACUAGGUGAUCCACCAUUCCAAGCAAUUAUAAUCAUAGCCUGAAAGAAAGAAAACAAAAGAAUCCCUAUAUAGAAAGAGGCAAGAAAGAAGAAAAGAACCAAGGAAAUGGAGGAGAUCCGAAUAAGUUGACAACAGCAGAAAAGAUAAGAAGUAACCUGUAAGCAUAGAAUAAGGAAACUCCACAUCCUGUCAAAACUUCGGAAAAGAUGCCAAAAUGAGCGUAUUUCGACAAAAUUUAUCUUUCCAAUCCAUCGAUCAGUACGAGCACGUUUGUUCUCCUAAAUUACAAUGAAAAUUCAGUCAAGAUAACACUACAAAAUGAUAACAGAGCAAAACUAAUUCAGCUUGCCUAAUUAGCAAACAGUAGUUUUAUCAGAAAUUUCUUAUAGUAUGACUGCAUCUUGAGUUUCAUCAGCAAAAAUGUGUUUAUAACCUCAUCAAACUUCAGUCGCUGUAGUUCAAAGUAAGAAAUUGAGAACCCAAUAAGACCUCUAAAUAAACCCUACGGCCCAAACUUACCUUUACUUCCUACUAAGUACUAACCUAGGAACUGGAAGUAUACUAAAACUAGGUUUGCCUUCUCUUGGACGUAUAUAUUGCGACUAAACCAACCUGUGACAAUUCUGUACGUCAAAGAGUAUAAAAAGCUACUCAUUCGUAAAGGAAGCUUACCCCAUUUUUUACAUUCUGAGAAGUAUCAGGCGGAUGGCCAAAAAAAUCAGCAUCAGCUCUCAUAGGCCAGCCUAAUCGGAAGCAAUCAACUGACCUGCAAACAAAUGUAAUAAAUUCAGAUGAAGUUCCUAAAAGCAUAAGUGAAUGUUUGAAGCUCAAGAAGGUUAUUCCAGAUUUAAUUUAAAUUGUUACCAGAAAUAUUCAUUUAAAUCAUCAUAAUUCCUCCAAUGUGAAUGCUUUGACUUGAUUUUUUUGCUCCUGUCAGUUUCCUACAAGAAAACAUAUCAAUCAUCAUCAACCGUGAGAAUAAGAGAAACAAAAGUUUCGAUUAGUAGUACUCAAACAAAAAUUUUACCGUUUUUAUAACAUUGUAAAUUGGAGUUACAACUUUCCUUAGAAAAGCUUCUUCAUCACCCCCAUAUGCUGGCUUAAUGUUUUCACCAGUCAUUGCGCUGACAUUCCCCGCCAGCAUACCAUAUAGUUCAAAUGCCAUCUGUUAGAAAGACAAAAUAAAGAGAAAGAGUCUUGUAAAAAGCCGAGUUUCAUGAAUUGCACCCAGCAGAUGUAUUUGUAGAUUUGACCAGCACCACUUGGCCUUCUUGUAUUCUCAUGCAAGAACUAAUGAACAUGUAGUCACUUCAGAUGUUUUCAUUAUAUUUUAUAGUAAAUUCCAAAGCUUAUGCAGGUAUCCAAAGCCAGACCACUUGAUUAAAAUAGGACUGAUCCAAAUCGAGCAACAACCUGACCUAACACAAUCAGCCACAAAUAGCAUAUCUGAAAUGAUAACUUGACCUCAUGUAGCUGAUUGCAAUACUAGCCAGCAGAAGGCUAUUUCUAUGCCAUGCCCAGGGGUUUAGUUUUCAGAAAAAGUAAUUUUUUUUUAAUCAUUAGAGAUUUAGAGUAACAAGAGCCUCACAACAUAAACCACACGGGACAUGUACAGGCCCGCCACAUGCAUAGGGUUCCUCUGCCCAUAAGGAGAGUCUUCUCUAUAUAUACACGACGUCAGGCGCAGAACAUCACUUUUUAUGACGCUAGACUGCCAAUAACUAGCUGAAGCCAUAUAAAACCACAAAAAACCAGACUAAUUUACCAAAAUCAAGCAAAUUCAUUUCAGUUUCAAUCAAAACCAAUAUGUUUGUAUCAAAACUUCAAGGAGUGCUCCAAAAUAAACAUUAAACACUAUAAAGCAAAAUAUUAUAUAAAGAAUAACUCCUAUGACAUGAAAGCCUUUUACUUUUUCUUAUUUUUUAUUUUUUCUUCUCCAUUACUGUUCUUUCUUUAAACAGGUGGGGAUGAAAAAAACCUGGUUUCUGAUACUCAGAAUGGAGACAUUUAGUUUUGUUUAAAACUGAAAUGAAGGCACGCAUGCAUCAAAACUUUUAGACUAACAACUUAAAUCCUCUAACUGUUACUGCAUUUCAGAACACAAAAGUUUGCCCCGUCUACCAAUUUGAAACUACUAAUUAAAUCCAUCUCUCAAUUAACUUCCAAAAUAAAUAUAAUAAAUAUCAGGCACAAUAUCGCAUUUAAAAUGUAAAAGAGUACAGUAAUAGUGCUGACUUAGAAAAGAGAAUCAUUCAUAGACAGCAUACAUGAUGAUAGAUGUAGCAAAGACACUCUGGCAUGAACCUCAAGUUUGCUGCUUCACCCCAUAUGAGCAGAUAAAGACCCAUAUAAAGAAGCUUACGCUGUUGUACUUCCUGUUGGAUAGUUGGCAACCUAUUUUUUUUCAAAAGUAAAUUACGUCAGCAAGCUAAAAGAUAUUCGAGAAUACAGGUAUUUAAAUUACUGGAAUUCACCAUGAAAUAAGACCAAAAGCAUGAUGAUGUUUUUAAAAAAUGGAGCCAAAAGCAAAGCUAUAUUUGAGAUAUCAUAGGAAACAUAAAGUGUUUCCUACUUCUACACAUCCUUACCAAAGACUACUUUUGCGGUUCAGGUACUUGCACCACUCCUUAUAAUUCUUAAACAGUCUCUUCAUCACAUCAGUUAGAGCGCGGUCGUCCAACUAGCAAAUAUUACAGGUGUUAUAUGGACAAACAAAAAGAAUGGCAGAAUCUUUGCUCAUGUUUGUAUACUGUGCUAAGAAGAAAUAGAUAAAGAAACCUUUGGCUGUUGGUCAGGCUUUGGAAACUGGCGUAUAUGAGCACUAGCAAGCAACAAAAUCAGAUGCUCCCUUUGAUUAGACACAUUGUCCUUCUGCAAAAAAUAGAGAGAACCCUUAUUUUAAUGAUUUUGUCCAGCAGAAGAAUGAAUUUAAACACCUAAUAUUUGUUAAGAUGUUAAAGCUACUCUAGAAAGAACAAUGUCACACGUGCAGUUGACGAAAAAAAAAAAAAAAGCUUUCCAACUGUACACCUGAAAUCCAAACAUAGCCUGAAGCCAAUCGAGAAGAUCUUCGUCAGGCUUUCUCUUGUGAUCCUUCGGCCAUGGUAGACCUCUGGUAUUACGGAGGGCAUAAACAGCAGCUUGAAUCUACAGAAUAUGUCAAUUGAAACCUUUAAGCUCGCUACGCAACUAAGGCAUAUCUUCAAGAUAAAAGGUUUAUGGCAAAAACAAUGCAAGAUAAGAAGGCCACAAAUAGAGGAGCGAACCUCUGGAUACCGCAUGAUAGCCUGAUUUGCACUGUCGGGAUCGAGAGGUAGGAUAUUGUAGGGUACAUAUAUCUUAGUCUUUUCCUCUACUUGAUUAUGUGUUUCCAAUAUCUGCAUGCAAGUUAUUAAUUGAAAAUACAAGAAAACAUGACUGUUAGGAAAACAUAAAUCAGAUCAAGAAAGCUAAAACACAUAAAUCAGAUCAGCAAAACUAAUAGGUUAAAUCGACAUCAGUUAACCAAUGUGACUAGUUCAUACCGACUGAUCAACUUCCAGCGACUGCGUUAGAUUAACCGCUUUUAAAACCUCAAACAAGACAGCAGCAGUUUGAUAUGCCUUCAUGAGCUGUGCACUGUAGACAAUAUAUAUUAUAUGUUUAUGCACAAAACAUCACUAAUCACUCAUCUAGAUAGCAUUACUGGCAAAUUUAACAAUCUACUUACCGAUCAGCUUUGUCAGCAGCAUUUUGAAGUGCUUGGAUGUACUUCUUGUAAUAAUCCUGGUAGAAGGUCUUCAUUUCUUUAGCAUCACUCCGUUGAACCCUUCCCUUCAAAGUUGGAUCAUUCUCCUGGCAGAACAAAAAAUUCACCAAAUCAAACCCAAAGCACAGAAGUGCAUAUCUACUGAUAUCAUGUCAAUCUUCAUCCAUUUUCUAGUUAAUCACGCAGUGCCUUCUCUUCUUCAAGGAAAUAGCAUAAUAAUUGCAAAUACUUCAGAAUUUUGCAAAGAGAUAACAAUAAAUGCACUCAGUGAUAAUUGUUCUGAUAGAAGUAGCCACCCAUAUAGCGUCAUCUACUAACAGAUGGCAGCGCCUUAAGCGUGAAAAAACAAGUGAGUUGAUGUAACAGGGUACUCUAUUAAGCACAGACAAGAACAAAUGCAUUCUUAAAGUACCAAGCCUACGGUCCGAUAAUGUACUGUAAGUAUAUUAUCUCACCUCAAUACCAUGAUUUACAACUAUGAAAUAUUCAUAUGAAUUGUCAAGCCUAUGACAAUUCCCCUAAUAACCUGCUUUCACCAGGAAGAGGAUAGGCAGCUUCCUUCCUGUUGGCCAACUUUCUAUAAAUUACAACAACAUACGAGGUCUGCAGGCCACCUUCAGACUACAUAUGCUAAGUAUAUAUAAUCACACAAAACAGUUGCUAAUAAAGCAUGUUUUUGUCAAUAACUCAUAAGCAAAUUCAUAAAUAUUAUACAUCAGACAACUUCUUACAGAGUAAAAUGGCACAUUUAUUUUCUACACAAUAAGAAUUUGUGGCGUUAUUUGAGGGAAAUUUACAUAAAUCAUUAAACAAAUGGCUUCUAUUGCAAGCUGCAAUACCAAUCAUGUGUUGAAUGCUCAGUGCAUCAAGUGCCAUCGAUGGUGCUUUAUCAAUAAGGUUGACUAGCAUUACUUAUAAAGAAGGGAAUGUAAGCAUAUCACAUAUGCAGUAUGCCCCUAUAGACUGCAGCCUUUUGGGGCCUAAUCGCCAAAAUACAAGUCACCAUGAAAAGCAACAUAAGAAUAAAAGAUCUGACGGAACAUAGAACAAAAUACCAAGUGUAACUGAUUCACAGUCAUUUUUAUUGCAAAAAAUGCAGAAGCAAUACCCUUUCUAGCCUUUGCAGAAGUGCAGUUUUAAACUGUCGCACGCCGCGACCGCUCGAAGUUGGAUCCAGUCGGUGAGCCUUCUCAAAUGCAUAGAAACGGCCUGCUCAUCCACAAAGGCCGGGCAGCACAUAGGCAACAAAUAAAAAAGAAGACCAAGGAUAAUAUCUUCAGAGCUUCCAACAAAAUUAUUUAUUAAGAGCAUUAAUAAAUAUACUUAAACAAAAGAAUUUGAAUAAUGAUGAGAGCACAACUAGUGUGCUAACAAGCAAAGAAAACAAGCAAACAGUAAAGAAACCAACCAGCUACUAAGCAUGCAAGGACAAAAACACCUAGAAGCUAUGAUACUCUAGACAUAGGAAUGCUGACUAAGUAAACAACAGAAGUGAAGAAUCGAGACAAUUGCCAAUAUAUAGGCAAAACUCAUGUAGAGCUUACAUGAACUAUGUAGCACCUUUUGAACUAGGUAUAUGAACUUUAAAAGGUUUUGAUUUUAUUAUUUAACCUCAAAUUAUUUUUGAAACAGUUAACGACCAUCAGAAAUUUUGAUUAUACUACCAAACCUUACAACAUUUGCAACCUUUUUGACGGUGCACUCCUUACCUUUUAGACAGUGUACUCCAUCAAAUAAAAGGAUAUUCUGUUACAUUACAAAACAUCCAGUCCAAAAUGUUACAACUAUGCAAGUUAGGCGACUAAACUUUUUGAAACAAAGGUACAGAUUUUGAAAUGCUCUACAGUUCAGGAAAGGUUUGUAUGUUUUCCCCUAAUUCAUACAAAACAGAAAACAGAAUGAUACUACAUCAUCGUACUUCAAUGAUUGUACUUGGUAAAUAUUUCCAUCUGACUAAAGGUACCUUGCAAACAAUCCACCCUCCAGUAAGUAUCACGACAAUUUUCCAAAUAACAUAAUUUUAAGCUGCACCAAUACUGGCUAUUCCUUGCAAUCCAUCAUGAAGGGAAACUCGCAACAACACAAUCCACUAGUCACUAGAUGGUAAUUUCGACCAGAGAUCCAAAACAGACUCCUCUAAAACACUUCUUAGUCUAAUAAUGUGCAGUAAAUAGCAAACCGUUAAGAGCUCAGUAACUUCAUAGACCGAUCUCAGCUAGAUUGAAUCAAGGUUAGCUCCUUAGAUAAAACAGCAAAAUCUUCAAGCAAAAUCGAGAUAAUGUUAAGAGAUUAGCGGGCUAUUUGGUCCAGCAACGGCUUUCGGUGAAAUGCUGUCCAAAUAGAGCUGUUUCACAAGCUCCGAACAGCUUUGUCGACAAGCUCCAAACUUAAGUAAGAAGCUAAAAGCUCCUUGGCACUAAAAAAAACUCAUCUCAAAAAUGCCACAAAAACUAAAAUACUACCGAAAAACCCACGCAAAAGAAUUGUAACAAAAGCGGGGGAAGGGAUAGGAAAAGGCGAGAACUCACAGAGGUAAGCGACGCGAGGGUUGAUCGAUUCGACCUCGUUAGCGACGCGAAGGAUGGGAGCGAUCUCAACGAGCGAGGAGGGAACCAACUCACUAUCAAAGAUCGACUCCCCGAGGUUCCCCGCCGUUUGCGUCCGCAUGAUCCGCCGCGGCCCCGGCGGCUCGGGGCCUCUCCUCGACGACGACAUCCUCCUCGCCCAACUCUCCUUCUCAAGAACCCUAAGCCAAAGACACCGAUCAGAGCCCAAAUCGCAGGGAUCCGAGCUCCCACAGAGCUCGAGACCGCGAGAAGUGAAGCAAUCACCUAGGGUUUAAGGAGCAGCGCUACCACUUACUGCUACUGAAGUGGUUACUCGCACGGAUAACCCGACCUCGGCAUGGGAGGCGGGGAUCGGAGGUCGAGAGGAGACGAAACCCUAGCUCGAGGAAGAAGACGAAGGUAGAGAUAGAGAGAGAGAGAGAGAGAGAGAGAGAGAGAGAGAGGUGUCUGCGGCAACGUAAAGCGAACGAGUAAGCGGAGAGAGUGAUGGUGAGAUAAUAAGAAAAGGGGGAUGUCGCUGAGACCAUCGAGGAGUGGAGGGGUCAGAGUGUAAUUUAUUGCGCUGCGACCGAGGCGGUCGUUCGAAAUGGGGCAGGGUUUUUAGGAUUUAUUGCGGUUUUGCCACUGACACUGGAUUAGCGAAACGGCGCGGUCUUAAUUAGCCUUUAAUUACAUUUACUUUCCGCGGUUACGAGAUUCAUUAUUAUUUUUAAAAAUUUUUUCUUUUGAAAAUGUAUAGGGACCUCCUAGAUUAUAGGCAAUUAUGAAAUAGCUACUCAAACUUCUUUUUUUCUUUUUUUUUAUUAGUUGCAUACAACAUUUUAUAAUAAAAUACAAUUGCAUAUGUAUCCAGAAGCAAUAACGAUCACCAUUUUAAUUUUAUAGAAUUAGAAAAGAUGAAAUUAUAAGAGUUAUAAAUUUUUUUGAGCUUUUAAAAUAUAAAAAAUAAUAUUCUUCACCCUUUAAAUUAUUAAAUUCAAUAUUAGAAAAACUAAUGAAAAUAGAAAUAAUUUUAUAAGCCAAAUGACAAAAAUAAAUAAAUUCGAUAUAUAUAUAUAUAUAUAUAUAUAUAUAUAUAUAUAUAUAUAUAUAUAUAUAUAUAUAUAUGUCAGCUUGAGCUGAUUUAAAAGUAACAGUAAUAUGCGGCGAUUGUUUUUUUUUUUCAAAAAAAAUAUCUUUAGUUUUAUAUAUUAAGGAUAAAAUCUAAUAGUUUUUAUAUAAUUUUGAUUCAUACUUUACUUAUAUAUAAUUAAUGCUUCUAUAAAAUAUAUAAUAUAGUUUUGGCUCAUAAAAAAAAUAAUUUAUUGCAAAAAAAAUAUGUAUAAUAAUAAAAAUAUUAUUUUUGUUGGAAACAAAACGAGGUUAGAGUAUUGGACAACGUUGUACAUAUCCAACUUAAUGGAAAUAAAGAGAGAAAAGCAGGGGCAUUUUCGUAAAAACAGCAACGUGCCCCCCAAAAUGUGCAUUACCAUAUAUACUGUUGUUACUGUGCAAGCCUCUGAGAUUUGAAUUUCAAAAAAAGAGUAAAAAUUAAAAAAUUAAAAAAUUAAAAAUUAAAAAAUAAAAAUUAUGUUGCGUAAAUUGUCCGCAUAAAUUUCGAGAAAUUUGGAUGUUACUUUUCGCCAACCGGGCAAAAAGCAGAAUUUCAGCAAGGCCCCUGGAUUUCGCCGAAAUUACAACUUUACCUUCGCAAAAAGUGGUGGUGCGCGCGGAUUGAGGCCCCUUUUUAUUUUUUGGUUGCUGUGACUCGAAACUGGAAAGGGUAUCGAUAAAGCACCGACGAGGGUGACGUGGAAAUUUGGAAAAGUAUGGUGGCGUUUUUACAAAAAAAUAAUAAUAAUAAUAAUAAUAAUGAUAAUAAUAAAUAAAUAAAUAAAUAAUAAUUCUGAUAAAUUUUAGUGUGGCUCUUUCCCCGCCCCACCAUGUUCUUUUGUUGGGGAGAGUGUACUCUCAAAAUUGGAUAAAAAUUUUGUGGUCACCUUCCCCAAACUAAUAAUUUGGGGACGGUGGCGGCUUUUCCUUUUCCUCUACUGCUCUCUCUUUCUCUCUUUCUCUCAGCUACCGUUUGAUUUGGGAUUAAAAAAAAACUAAUUAUUUUAGAAAUAGAGUUAAGUUUAGAGUUAAGAUUGAGUUAAAGUAUUUUUAUGUUUAGUUAGAAAUUGGAGUUAAUUCAGGAUAGUGAAAAAUAAUAUUUGAUUGGAAUAGGUGGAAUAAAAAGGAUAGUGAAUUAUUAUAAAUAGAAAAUAAUAUUUGGUUGGAAUUUUGUGGGGUUAGGUGGAGUUAGCUAACCCGGAAUAACCCAUUUGAGGUGGGAUUAGCUAAUCCCACCCAUUGUUAGAAGUAUUUGGAGAUAAAAUGGGGGUUAAAGAGUUAUUCCACCUCUUUAACCCCCAACCAAACGGAGGCUAAAACAUCGGACAACUCUUUUUUUCUUUUUCCUUUUUUUUUUUUUUUUACUUUCAUAGGUGGCCGCUGGAUGGGCCACAUGGCACCCAUCCGCACGAUUUCCAACGAUGCUUAUAAAUUUUUUGUCCCUCAAAAUUGAACUCUAAUAUCAGCUUUAUUUUACUGAUAUGCACAAAUUUUAAAGCAAUUUGACGACUACAAAUUUAUAUAAUUAUUAAUAUUUUUGGGCUUUUAAAAUAUAGAAACUCAGAGUUUGACUGGGCUACUAUCGGUAACUUCAGCAAAUUUAAUUUCUUAAAACCAAACAGCAAACAGCAGGACCGAUUUGGUCCAGAUUCCGAUGAGAGCCAGGUUUCCGAUGUGUGAAAUAAAAAGGACGCAUUUAAUGUCCGUCAGGACCGUGCGUUAGGGUGGCCGAAUCUCAGGAAAUACGCGAGCGGCGAAUGUAGACGAGGGGCAUUUUGGUCAGGCGGCUAAAAUUCCGGUCCGAAUCUGCAAAAUCGAAAAAUGUGACUCAUUUUUGCAAAAGCACAAAACUGGUGAUUUUUUUAUGGAAAUUGGCCUCUUUUAAAUGUGCCGAAUGAAUAUAAAUUUUAAAGUUAAAGUAAAAAAUUAACAGCUGAGACUUAAUCAAAUUAAAUAAAAGAGAAAACUUUUAAUACCACCAAUGUGGUUUCACAGUUUCUCACUUUAGUGCCAUAUGGUUUAAAAUGUAUAAUUUAGUGCCAUGUAGUUUCUUUUUUAUUUUUUUAUUAUCGAUUCUACCAAAUUUUUUCGUUAAAUUAGUAACAAAUUUAAAACUAAAGAGUACUAAAGUGAAUAUCCGAUAAAUUUAUGCGGAGUAUCUGAAGUUUUUUAUAUAUAAUUUAACGAAAUAUUAAUGAAAAAGCUGACGAAAAGAUAAAUAUGAAACAACAUGACACUAACUUAAUACAUUUUAAACCAUGGGGUAUUAAAGUGAGAAAAUACCAAACUACGGGGCAAUAUUUGAAGUUUAUUCUAAAUAAAAAAUUUUAAAAAAACUCAAUAGUAAAGAAAAAAAUUGAGGACUAAAAUAAAAUUUGAACAAUAUUUUCAACCCACUAAUAGUAGUAAUAAUAAUAAUAAUAAUAAUAAUGCGAUUAAUCCUCAAUUGUUUAUCAUUGGGUGGUUCUUUGUUGCUAUCAUGUAUUGAUUGAUUGAUUAAUAUGUGAUAUGUCAUCUUUGAGCUUGACUCAAUCCUCUCUAGGCGAUAAUUAACUUCGUGAGAACAAAAAACCUUUUUAGGAAGUGUUCAUUUAAAAAAAAAAAAAAUUAAUUGAUUUGGAUAAUUGAGGACGUGUUUGAUAAGGGCUUUUUUAUAAAAUAACCUUCCAGAAAUUCGAUUUUGGCAAAAUAAUUCUACCAAAAUUUUAUUUGUAAAACUAAUCCUCCUUUCGCCACGUGGGCGCCACGUCAGGAAUUCCUCAAAAAAACGGUGAAUCGUUCACCAUCUUUGUAAUUUUUGUUGUAAAAGCGGUGAAUGGUUCACCGCCUUCUAAAGGCGGUGAACCAUUCACCGUCUUUAGUACAAAAUUUUUCUUUCCGCUCUUUUCCCUUUCCGCCCUCUCAAGUCCGCCGUUUCUGUACCCUCGAGAAGACGGAGAACGAUUCAUCGUCUUAUCAAGGACACCAUAUUAUGGACUUGGAAAGAUUUGUGUAGAAUAGAGAUUUGUACUAAAAACGGUGAAUGGUCCACCGUCUUAUAAAGACGGUGAACCAUUCACCGCCUUCACAAUAAAUAUCAAAGACGGUGAACGAUUCACCGUCUUUUUAAAAAAUCUCUGACGUGGCGCCCACGUGGCGAGAGGAGGGUUAAUUUAACAAAUAAAAUUUUUACAGAAUUAAUUUGGCAAAUACAAAAUUUUACAGGAUUAUUUUUGAAAAAAGUCCGUUUGAUAACUUUGCUUGAAGUCCAAUAAAGUAAAAGAUGACAACAAGCGCCGUAGACAAACUCGACUCUGCUGUCUGCAUCAGCUGUUGACAGAGUUAGGAAUCUGGGGCUUUUUUCUUUUUCUUUUUUAUAAAAUUUAAUUUUUUAUAUUAUUUUUUAAACAAAUUAUUAUUUUAAAAUAUGAUUCUAUUGUUCGAAUCCGUUAGAAAAUUUUAAUUAAUUAUAAAUAAAAUACUUAAUCCUGAUUCAUCCACGACGCAUGUUGCUUCGUCCAUGUCGAAUGCGUGUUGCUUUUCUAUUCAAUUUUCUGUAUAGGUUUUUCUUAUUUUGCUCAAAAUAAAAGAUUUUGGAGAAAAUAAGUGAGAGAAAAGAUUGCAAUAAUAGUGGAUUAGGUUGAGUUUUAAAAAGAGAGAGAAUGAGGAAGAAAAUGAUCAUUAAAAAGUUCUUGGGAGAAUAUUUCUGCACGAUUAUAAUAGUUGAAUUUUUUGAGAGAUAUAUUUGUUAUGGAAAAAUUGACAUUUUAUUUAUCUGCAGUUAAAAGAUAAAUAGUUCGCUAAUGGUAACAAAACAGAGAGACAAAUAUGAAUAUUAUAGAUUUUUUACAGGGAUAACAUAAAAAAGUUAAAUUUCGUAGGAAUAUAUUUACAAUUCACUAUAUUUAUACGAAGCUAUAUACAAUUAACCUUUUUUUUGGUAUUUAUCUUUCUAAAAAAAAUUGUAAAUGACCCUCUAAAAUUAUAAUUGCAUAAAUAAAUUUUUUUUAUCAUAUUUUAAAAUAUGGUAAAUAAAUAACUGUCCUUAACUUAAUAUUUUCAAUAGAUCAUGAUGCUUGUGUGGAUAACUAGAGAAUCAUUUCUACAAUUAUAAUUUUACAAUGGUCAUUUGUACAAAAAAAAAAAACAAAAAACAAAAGAAUCCAAAUGUCAAAAAAUCCACAGAGUUUGAAUGAGACAUAAAGAUUUACGUGAGAAAUUCUUUGCAAGAAAAAAAUCACAGGUGAAAAAUAAGAGAACUUCAUUAUAAAAAAAAAAGUACAGAAUUUGUAAGUACAAUAUGCUGUAUCACAUAUAGGGCAAAAAGAAAAAACAGAUUUCUUAACGGAUUUGAAAUUUGAUUCAUACCCGAACUCUCCCCUACUUAUCAUAGGCAUCUAUUUUUUCGUUCAUAAUUUUUAUCGCAUUACAAAAUUAUCGACAAAUCGAGAGCCCGAAAUUAAAGUCGAUAACUAAAUUUUGAGUCACAUAUGACACUUAUUACAAACCUA